rnacentral:lncRNA from 1 species
AAGGUUGAACACCUUAUAAGUAAGACGACCCAUAAAUCCAUUGCCUUAAGGUUUUGGGUAAGAGUGUGGUGUCUCUCUUGCUCGUGUAGUUGCUCUAGUCUUGAUGUGGACGGUCUCCCAGACUCUCCUCACUGACCCAACAGUAAGAUCGUUUUAAGCAAACAAAGGCAACGUACCUUUGAUGGAUUACAACCUUACUUUCAUUUUAAUUUGGGUAUACUGGCUUGUUCAAAAAGUGUGUAACUUAUCAGAUUUUAUAGAGAAAAAUAUACUUAGCAAUAACUUAUAAAUCAUUUCAAAGACAAAAUCAGUAAAGAACCACGAUUUGAUCCUACAGUUUGGCCAAACAGUGAUUUUUAUUUCAUUCAUAAUUUAUUCAUUAUUCCCAUACACAUAAUUAAAAGCAAAGCCUAAGGGACUUUCUCACAUCACAUGCAUGGUUAAUUACAUAGUUAAUUAACUACAUGAUGGAUAGCAGAAGUUAGUGAUAUCAUAGCAACGACACUGUGGAGGAAAAGACCGUGUGCAAAGGCAACUUUUGCAAGCUGAGUGACAUUUUUCUUUAACAUCAGUACACUGACAUUGAGGUGGGAUUGAUCUUGUGCAAGGGCAGAAAUCACAGCAUGCUGUUGUUGUGGAUUUGGUAUUAGCUUCACCAUUGGAGAGCAGUUGAGUGAUGAAGGAUGCCCGAUCGAAACGAGCAUCAACCAUGGUUGAAGUGAAGCUCAAGAGGAAAACCAACAAAGCUAACUUCAUCAUCAUUGCCUUCUUGUUCAUCAUCAACACCAUUAUCACUAUCUUUUUCUCACUUUCUCUCACUCUUACUAUUAUGUAUGUAUGUGUACCUUUUCAGCUAGCUAUAUGUGGGUCUAUUUAUAUACAACGCUGAUGUUUAGACACCAUUUUUUUUUUACAUAUAAUUCAACAGUACAUUUUAACUAUAUGAUAUUUUUUUCUUUCUAUCAUAUUUAUCACAUGAACUUUUUCUCUUUAUUUAAAGGUGUAUAUACCCAUUACAAACAAUUUUCUAUUUACAUAGGUGUUAUUCUAAAGAAAAAUGUUAACUAGUGCUCCAGACGAAACAAACAUAAUAAGAAAUUUUUAAACUUAUAUAAUCAAAUACUUAAAAGUAUUGAAAAUGUUCUUUUUAAUGCAAAACUUUAUUUUAUUAUUUCCAUUUGCAUAGGUACUAUUCCAAAAUAGAUGACUCCCUUAAAAUAAAUAUAUUUACAUGUGCACGCUAUGACACUUGAAAAAAAAAUUAUAGCAUGAUCCGCGUGUCCUAUGUAUACUACCAGUUAUUUCUACCAAAAAACUCUUAAAAAAAAGUUCUACCAAAAAAUUAUAAAAUACUAUAUUUUCUUUUCCCUUAAAAAAUAAAAAAUGAAUUUAUUAAUAACCAAAACCUGCAGAAGAUGAACAAAGACUGGCAAAAUGGAAACAACAAACAAAACGCAUCUUAUAUAGGCGAAACAUCCAAAUGAAAACCUAUACACCUCAAACAUCAAAACACCAAUAAAUACAUCACCCAACGAUGGCUACCCAAAAAACCAAUACUAAACUAACUACCAAAAUCAAAACCAACACCAAAAUCAAAGUCAAACAUCUGUCUGAACGUAUGCCAAAUCAUCAACCUCCAUCAUGAAUGACCACAUAACUAGUUCUAAACAUCUGUCUGCCACUACUCGCAUAGAAACCCCCAAAAAACCAACAACCCGACCAAAAUUCCUUUUAUAAAACUUCACAUUCUCUUUCACAAGUGAGUCCAAAUAAACAUAAAUAAACCGCUUAAGCGAACACUCAUUCAGAUUCCACCAUCAACCGACCACGAUCCACUAGAGAAUACACCAAAACAAAGCCAAAAAAUUAUGCUUGAAAACCGACUACCAAUCUUGAAGCAAAAGUAAUAGGCCCACCAGACUCUAUACAAAAAAAAUCACUAAGACACCCCUUAAAUCCCAACCCAAUGAGGAAGACACCAAAACCUUAAUUUUUUUUUCUUCAAACUGUUGUGAAUUCGUACAAAAUCACACCAAUGAAUAACAAAGAUGUGUGGAGCAAAGGGAAGUGGUAAUCAAUAGAUAAAGUGUCUCCAAGCAACAACAACAAAAACAGACCUAAAUCUAAGUGUAGAGCAACACCACAAGCAUAAUCAAAGCAAUAAAGAUAAGCAAUGAAAGAGAGGAACAAACACACCAAGAUUGUUGACCCAGUUCGGUCCAAUAUGACCUAAUCUAGGGGAGAGAGCAGCUCUCCAAUCCACUAUGAUGAAAGUGUUACAAAAGAGUUACAAGAAAUUAGCUUACAAGCUUACACAAGAACAAGACCUAAUUUCUACCCAUUUUUGUGUCACCCACUCUCACAAUAUGAAUCCUAAGAGAAAACACAAAAGGAAGCUUUUUGAUCCUUCCAAUGUUGAAAUCUCACUACCCAAGGUGUUUACAAUGUUUCCCAACCCUCAAGAGAACCUCACUAUAAAGACACUCAACCCAAAAGUUACCUCCUUUGUAUUCCCAAGUUUCUCUCUCAAAGCUCUCUUCUCAAAAAAUGAAGAAAGAAGCCUUAAAUAGUGUUCAGUACGCAGCAUCGUGCCACGUUUCGACCCAAUCGUGCCAUGAUGGAGCAGGUAUAGUACAGUAGUAUACCUUAUCCACUACAUCGUGCCACGUUCCUCCUGGAUCGUGCCUUGAUUUUUCAGUGACAAAGCCAAACCUGAACCAACCAAUCGUGCCACGUUGCCCUGCAAAUCGUGCCACGAUUCCUCAGUGCUUCCACAUCCAAUUCUUGAGUCAAUUUUCAACACAAACUAGACAAUAAUUCUUGACCUCGAAGCAAAAACAAUCGGCGCCCGAGAAUCCAAGAGACAAAUUCCUAAGGAAGUCAACAGGUGAAGGGGUGGUGCAAACCGAACUAACUGGAAAAAGGUCUCAGCUUGAAAACGACUCAACUUGAAACAACUGGAAUUGGAAACACAAAAAAUCAACCACAAGCCAAUCAUGAAACAAUCUAAAAUCGGCAAUAGCUAGCGGCGACAGAGAUGGACCUAGAUCGGAGGUCAGCACAAGUGGACAACGGAAAAAAAGCAAAAGAACCCAGAAUAAAAAACAACACACAAGCUCCUCAUCAUCAUUACAACCACCACACAAAAAAAAUAAAAUUAACAUUCAUAUAGCACCACCCAACACAAAACAAAAGGUUCGAGUGUAAAAAAAAACCACAAAAUCCGUGCACACCGAAACCGAUAAUAAUUCAAUAACAAAAACUGAGCAAGCAAAAACAAAUCAAGACAAAUCCAGUCCUAAGAGCAACACUUAUCCUUAAAAAUAACCAGCUCCCGCAAACACGAAGAUGCACAAAAAGUUGUGCACAAGACAACCAGCAAUAACAAAAAGUUUUGCACAAGACACAAAAAUCCACAAAAAAUAACCAGCUCUCGCAAACAUACCCGAAACAAAACAACCAUCUCGUAAACCUUUAUCGCAAACACGAAGAUCGAACGACACAGGAGGACCAACCAUUACUAUUGAGAAACUUCAUGCAAACCAACCGAACAAUAGCCACUCAACUUGAAUCUCAUAUCCGGAUUUAGUAUCACUAACCGCGAAGAUCAACUUAAACACCACCGGUCGCCAUAACAUCUCCACACAGCAGCAGAGAACAGUCACGAACAAAACCAAACAACUCAAAUUUCAAGCAUGUAACACAAAUAGAGAGAGAAGACGACCACGUUGGUGGUUAACCACCGUAAGCCAUCAAGAAACAAAGACAACAUACCUUUAUUGGAUUACAACCUUUAUUUCAUUUUAAUUUGGGUAUACUGGCUUGUUCAAAAAGUGUGUAACUUAUAAGAUUUCAUAAAAAAAAAUAAAAAAUAAAAAAUAAAAAAAAAAAAAAAAACUUAACAAUAAAUUAAAUUAGAUAAUCAACUAAAUAAUUUCAAAGACAAUAGCAGUUAAAGAAACACAACUUGACCCUACAGUUUGUCAAAAACAAACUGCAUAUAUGGCCAAACAGUAAUUUUUAUUUCAUUCAUUCAUAGUUUAUUCAUGAUUUCCAUACACAUAAUUAAAAACAAAGCCAAAGGGACUUUGUCACAUCACAUGCAUGGUUACAUAGUUAAUUAAUCACAUUGAUAGCAGAAGGUAGUGACAUCAUGGCAACGGCACUGUGGAGGAAUAAACUUUGUGCAAACGCAAUCUAAGCAACCUGGUGAGUUACAUUUUUCUCUAACAUCAGUACACCACACAUGCUUGUGGGAAUGAUCUUGUGCAUUGGCAGCUAUUACAGCAUCCUGUUGUUGUGGAUUUGACAUCGUAAGCAGCUUCACCAUUUGAGAUUACUUGAGUUAUGAAGGAUGUUGGAUCGAAACGAGCAUCAACAACAGUUGAAGUGAAGCCCAAAAGAAAAACCAAUAAAGCUAACUUCAUCAUCUCACCACCAUUAUCACUAUCUCUUUCUCACUUGCUCCCUCGUAGUAAGUACUAUUUAUGGAUAUCUUUCUUUGCAGCUAGCCACAUGAGUCGAGACAACUACUACUUUUAAUUUCUACCGAAAAAAUGUAGAGCAAUGAUAUUUGUACAUUCAUUCCAUGACAACUUUAGUGACAAUCUUGUUUUUCUCUCUUUUUAUUGAUCAAAAACAAUGGAGAGAGAAAAAGAAAGAGAGAGGAUAAGAUCAUCAUAUGAGUAUGAGAGAGAAAGUUAUACAAAAGUUGUCACAAAUUGAUUGUACAAAUAUCAUUUCUCAAAAAUGUAUAAUACUAAUAUUUUCCUUCUCCUGCGUUCCGUUUUUGUGUUCUUAAUUUUAGGUAAAAUCACAUCACGGGUCGUUUAUUGUCAAAGAAUGACAAAAUAAUAAAAUAUAAUUAAGUUAAUGAUACAAUUAUAUCACGGGCAGUUUAUUGUCAAAGAACAGCAAAGUAAGGAAGAACCCGCGAGAUGCAAAAGAAAUGACGACAUAAGAGGGUUGUGAUGGUGGCCUGUGGCGGAGAAUGGCGAGGAGAGCCUUUGUGUUUCUAUGUUUUUUUUUUUAUUUUGUUCAUUUUUUUGUGGACUAGGGAAGAGAGAACAAAGAUAAGGUUUUGAUAAGGAAUUUAAGGAGAGAGAAAGAAAAAAAAAUUAAAACAAAAUGUCACAUAGGUGUAUAGGUUGUUGACACACACCGUAUAUUCCUACGGUUAAGGGUAUACAAGUCAAGUUUUUUUAAUCAUUCUUUACAAUCUUGGAAAGCGUGUCAUCCUUAAUUGCUCAAUGGAAAAUGAUGAGUGUUAUUUGAACAACCAAUUUGGUGACAACUUAUUUGACAAUUAUAUUUUACAAAGAAAAAAGUGGUAUUGGCACGGAAACCAUAACAAUAGAGAGAUAAAGUAAAAAGUAAUGUGAGUAUGAGAGAGAAAGUUGUUGUAAAAGUUGUUACUAAAUGGAUGUUCAAAUAUCAUUUCUCAUGGAAAAAAUACGGUGUGUGGAAAGUUGUUGGUUUUUGGUUGUUAAAAUAAGGCUUAAUUGCACUUUUUGCCCCCUAUCUUUUCAAAAGUUGCGAUUUUGGCCCCCUAACUAAUUAAAAUACAAAACAACCCCCUAUGUAUUGGAUCUUUGCUAGUUUUGGCCCCCAAGGCCACUUUUGACCCCCUAUCUUUCCACUUUGGGGGCCAAAACUGCCAAAGAUCCAAUACAUAUGGGGUUGUUUUGUAUUUUAAUUAGUUAGAGGGCUAAAAUCGCAACUUUUGAAAAGAUAGAAGGUCAAAAGUGCAAUUAAGCCUUAAAAUAAUAGUGCUCGGUGUAUAUAUGGCUGUUUUGGACAAAAUGGAUGUUCAUAAUUGAUUUUGGAGGUGUAGAAUUGAUCCUGACAUGUUUAAUUGUUGUUGAGUAUGAUUGAUUCUGUCUUUAGAGUUGUUCUACUUAAAACUAGGAUCUGUAGCUUUUGAUUUUGAAAUUGAUUUUCAAACAUAAAUCUAAAUCAAUUCUAUCAAAAUUAACUGUUCCAACAGCACAACCAAACACAGACUUCGUUGAAGAAGUUGAUUCAUCUACGUAUAUACAGCGAGUUAAACUUCAGCUGUAAAACUCGUUAGACCUCUUGUCACUUAUAAAACUUAGUAAACAUGUUAAAACACACAAAUAUCCCCAAAAGGGAGAUGGAUUGAGCUUACUACCCUAAGUGCGGAGACACAAAGAUCAAGACAAACCCAAAACCUCGUUCAAAACCAUCCUAACCCAUCUCCUCCUUAACUAACUACAGUCUUAACAUACAACCUUAAUUCAGAUUAAUUUUUUAAGUUAUAUGUGAUAAGAAACAAACUUCUCCAACUCAGCAACUCAAAAAAGUUGAAUAUCAUUAAAUUUCAAUUUUUUUUUACUUAUUUAAUCAUAAUUAUUAAACUUUUGACAUGUUAAUUAAUUAAAUUAUAAACUAUAAAAGAUUAUACUAGUUAAUAGAAAAAUUAAUAUUGCCAAUUUAUUCCAUCAAUCAAUAUUUAUUGAUUUGAGUUUGUACAUUUAUUACAAGAGUAGAUGUAAUCUUCGCAACGGCAUGUAGGAGGCAACCCUGAGUCACAAACGCAAUUAUCGCAACCUGGGUGACAAGAUCGUCCUGUAGCAUCAUUACAACGACAUGGAGGAAAAGUCAAACUUGAGCACUCACAGUCAUUACAGCACCCUUCGUUAUUUUGCUCUUGAGUGAUGAAGGUUGUUGGAUCCAAACCAGCAUCAACUACAAUUGCAAUGAAACCUAAGAGGAAAAGCAAGAAAGAUAACUUCAUUAUUGCUCUCGAUAAUUCUUUAUGACACUUGCAAAGAGGCAAGCAACUACAUGGGUCUAUUUAUAUAGAGUGCAUUUUAUUUAAUUAUUUAAAUUAAAUAUUCACAAUAUAUGAAAACCCAAAAGAUUUAUUUUAAAUAAUAUUUUUAAUAAGAGUCAAUCAUGGUGGUCAAUAGUGAUUAAUACGGUAUUAAACUUUUGAUUAUUUUUUGAAGAAAAAAAUCUAAAUAUUAAUUAAAGGAUUAAACAUGUUUUUGGUCCUUAUAAAUAUAAUAACUUUUUGUUUUAUCUCCUCUAAAAUUUUCCUUCAACUUUUAAUUCCUAUAAAAUUUUCAACCAACACUUUUUGAUCGUACCUGAUCAGAAGGUGACUGCGGGUGCUUUAAAUGUGGUGGUUUGAGGGGUGGUGAAAUGCGCCAAAAUGCUUCUUGGAGCGGAUGGGGGCUGUGUACCUGCAGAGACUCCGACGCUCAAGUAAGUAGAGAUCAGAGAGUGAGGGUUUAGAGGAAGAGAUAGAUUCUACCUUGGGGACUGCUAUGAGUCCCCUAUUUAUAGAGGUGGACGGCUGCAGAGCCGUUGUAAUGACACACCUGACUCUAGAAGUUACGAAAUCGUGGGAAGUGUAACUGCUAGAGAGUUUAUUGCGGGAACGUGCAGAGAGACGUUGUGGUUCGUUUGAACCAGUCUCGUUCGCUCCGUGCACCCCCUUGUGGGAAAGGGGUGUGUCACAAGUAACUUUGCCAAACGUGGUGUUUGGGCUUUGGGUUGUAUUGGGCCUAAAUAAAUGGGUCAAAUGUCGUUUGGCCGGUCCAGAACACUUUUGGUCCCUACUUUUAAGUAAAUUUUUGUAUUUUUUAAUGAAAUUGUGCAGAAAUGUAUAGAAUAUUGUAAAAAUCACUCAAAAAAAUUAGAAUUUUUUAACAAAACAAAUUAAAUAUGAAUUUUUUACCGCAAAAAAUAUAAAAAUUCAUAUUUAAUUCAUUUUUCGGUAAAAAAAUUCUAUUUUUUUUUGGACAGGUCCUUAAAAUAUUAUAAAUUUUUUUGAAAUUUUUUAUUCAAAAAUAUGAAUUAUACAUAUUAGUUUACUUUAAAAUUGCGACCAAAGUGAAGAUGAAGAAAUUUUUUAGAGGGACUAAAAUGAAAAGUUGAUAUAUUUAUAGGGACCAAAAACAUAUUUAACCCUUAAUUAAAUGAUAUAAUAUAUAUAAAAUGUAGGGGGAUGAUUAGCUCAUUUGAUUGAACUUAAAAUUUAAAGGAGGUAAGGAGUAAAGUUUCAGGUUCGAAUUUUGACAAGAGAAAAAUAUAUAAAAAAAAAUUAAAAUGUAAAAAAGUCAGAAAAGGUGAUGGACGAACACAAACAUGGUUUUAGUUCAAUGCCCCGAAGCGUGAAUCACCCAUCGCGAGCUGGGGGUUCUACCUUACAUGUCGAGCGGUGAUGUAGUAGUUGAGAGCUAACAUACCGAGAAGUUAAUGAUUAUGUUGUUUAGAUUUCAUUUAUCCUUUAACUCUUUUUGGAUUGAUGGAACAGAACGGGGUGGAACGGAAUUGAAUAGAAUGGAAUGAAGUGGAAUGGAAGGGAAUGUAACAGAGUUUCCAUUCCAUUGUUUGAAAAACACAUGGAAUGGAACAAGUUAUGACUUAUUUAAUUCGAUUUUUUACCCUUAUUUAAAAAAAACUAUUGUUAUUAAAUAAAACAUAUUAUUACCAAAAUCACAUCACCUUAAAGUUAUUACUAAACGUGUAUACAUAUGAUUUUUUUUUUGUUAUAAUCAACAAAAGAAGCGAUUGAAAUUAAUUUCAGACACUCAAGAAAAGAAUGCAACAUUCUGUCCAAAAAAGGAAGAAAACAAAUAAACAACGUGAUAUUCAGUUCAACGUGUCUUUUUUUUUAUUAUUUUUUUUUAUGGUGUUUAGGGUUCGAACCCCAGACCUUUUGUAUAUUUUAUGCAUUGUUUUUACCAACUGAACUAAGCUCACGUGAACUCAGUUCAAUGUGUCUUACGAAGCAUACAAAUUUUGAAUACAAUAUUGCUGGAAAACAGAAUGAUCAUAGAGGGAAUAGACUAAAAAAGGCAUAAGCUCUCAACGAGAAGACAAAUGUUUAAAAUUAAAAUAUGUAUACACACUGAAAUGUUUUAAUUGAAAAAACUUCAAGUAGAGUGCAUUUGAGAGAAGGAAACAAAAUAAUGAUAAAACGAAAAUAGAGGUAAAAUGGUAAUAUUUAAAUUAUAAAGUUUCAUUCCAUUACAUACAACCUGAAUUGAGGGAAUGAAAAAUUGAACGGUUGGAUGGUAUGCGAUAAAAUGUGUUCCAUUAUGUUCCCUAACCUCCAUUAAGUAUUUGUAAAUCUAAACAAUGGAAUAUAAUAAAAUUUUUUUUUGAAUAAGUUAAAAUGGAAUAUAUUAUUGAACACCUGAAGAUUUUAGCAUAAGGAGUGCCAAAAACUCAGCUGAAAGAGUAUCAAAUACAAUAAAAAAAAAAUACGGGAAACAAAAACAGGAAAAACCAACAAAGAGAGCUACCCUAUGGAAUAUAAUAACUUACCACUCAAUUUCAUUUCAUUUCAUCACUUACCACCAAUCCAAAUAUAGCCUUAAUGAUUUUAGAUUUUUUUAAGAAUAUUUUACACAUUUUUACACAAUUUCAUUAAAAAAAUAUAAAAAUUAAAUUAAAAAUAGGGAGCAAAAGUAUUGAUUGAAAAUUUCAUUGGAAAAUUUUAAAGGAGCCAAAACGAGGUAUAUUUAUAACACCAAAAACUUACUAGUUUGGAGAUGUCGUGGAGGCACUACUACAAAAUAUACAUUUAAAAUCAAGGGGGUUUAGUUUUCACUUUGACCUUAUCCCUUCCUCCCUCUAUCGUAAAACAUAUCCAGCCAAUCGUAAAACAAGUUUUGCAAGCUCACCGUCAAAAAACAAAUUUUCACUCUCAAUAAAAAAACAAUCGAACCUCUCUCUCUCUCUCUCUCUCUCUCUUUUGAGAAUUUUCUCUCUCACCGUUGCUGCUCAAGCUCUCUCUCCGGUGAGUUCUCUCUCUCACCGUCGCUGCUCAAGCUCUCCGGUGGAUUGUUUGGGUCUUGGCUAACUCUUGAUUGACUUUGUAUAUCUGUAAUUUUUUAGUGUCCCCUUGGUACACCUUGUACUAGGGAGAGUCCUUGGUUUCUUAAUAUAAGUUCCAUUUUUUAUUGUUAAAAAAAAAAACAUUCUUAUAAUCAAAUUUGUUUAAUUUUGAUGCUUAUGAGAGAAGGAAAGAGGUGUGAUUGCCCCCAAACACAUUGUCAGACCACGCCUAGAACUGAACAUCUGGAGCGUUAAUAUAAAUGGUGUGUGGAAAAAUAAAAAAUGUAUUGAAUAGAUCACAAUAAUAAUUCUAUAUCAUUAAAUUUCAAUAAAAAAUAUUUAUCAAAUUAAAUCAUAAUUAUUAAAAUUUUGAAAUGUUAAGUUAAUUAAAUUAUAAGCUAUAAAAAAUUGUAAUAGUUUUUUUCAAUAUUUUUAAUAAUUCAAAAAAUAAUUAAAAAUAUAAAAAUAAUAUUGUCAAUUUACUCCAUCCAUCAAUCAAUAUUUAUUGAUUUGCAUUUCGUUUGCUUUGGUUCUUAAUUAGCUCCAUCUUUGGAGUUUGUACAUUUAUUGCAAGAGAAGAAGUAAUCAUUGCAAUGACAUGUUGGACCUGUUUCACAAGCGCAAUUAUCGCAGCCAGGGUUACAUUCUCGUUUUGAAUCAUUACAAGUACAGGGAGGAAAAGUCGAACUUGAGCAUGAACAAUCAUCACAGCACACUUCGUUUAACAAUUUGAAAUCAACACCAUUGAGGGUUGUUGGACUUGGAUCCAAACGAGCAUCAACCAUAGUUGCAAUGAAGCCUAAGAAAAGCAACAAAGAUAUCUUCAUCAUUGCAUGCAGCUUGUUCAACUGCAUUAUUACUCUCAAUAUUUCUUUAUCACACUUGCAAGAGACAGGCAACUACAUGGGUCUAUUUAUAUAGAGGGAAAUAUUAUUUAAAUAUUCCCUCAUGUCAUUAUUACAAGCAAAAAUCAACUUUUUAGGUUCAUUUAUUAAAUAAUGUAUUUGGUCAAUAAUAUGGAUCAAAUACAUCAUUUAAAGAAUGAACAUAAAAAGUUGAUUUUUGCUUAUUAAAUAUAUGUUAAAAACUAAAAGAAAAAAAUGGUUAUUUUUAAGUGAUAGUCAACCAUGGUGGUCAAUGGUGUUUAAUAUGGUACUAAAAAAAAGAUGUUUACCAAAACAAAUUAAUAUAUUUAAUAGAUGGAUUUGAGGUUUUCUAUGAAAUAUUUUGACUUCUUUAAAAAAAAAAUGGAUUGAUUGGAUAUGCAUCAUUUGAAAAUAUAACAGUAGAUCAAUUGAAUUUUUUUAAAGAAUAUUUAGUUGGUAAAUGUUAAUAUGUUAUUUAUUAUUGCUAGUUUUACCAUUGUCAAGAUUUGAAACCUGCACUUUUAACUUCUCAACUCCUUUAAUCAUGGCUUAAAUGCUCUUUUGGUCAUUUAAGUAUUUAUUUGGUAUUGCUUUGAUCCCUUAAAUAAAAAAAAUAUUGUUUAAGUACUUUAAGUAUUUUUAGUCUCGUUUUGGUCCUUUCUGUUAGGUUUUCGUUAGGUUUUAAAAAAAAAAGUUAACUCCUGGACACCUGUCACCUUGUCAUUGGCUCUGAGUUUUUUUUUUUUAAAUAUAUAUAUUUUUUUUUAGGGACCAAAGGAGCAUUUAAGCCUUUAAUCAUUUAGUUCAAAUCAGUUGAUCUAACAUCCAACACAUCUAUUUUGUCAUCUCUACUUGAAAUCCCCCAACACUCACUACUUUUUUUUUAGGGGUAUUGCUACUUUUAUGGAUUUACACAUGUUAAUUUCUUCAGAUUUUAUUUGUGUGGUGUAUUUUUUUUAUGGGUUAAUAUAAUAUGCACCUCUAAGAAAACAAUUAUAAUAAAAUGGAGAGGUCAAACAAUACUCCCAAUCUAAUCUAAUAUGAUAAAAGUCAGUAUUAUAUAGAUUUAAUUUAUAUAUGAGACAUUCCCAAUAGGGUUGAAUUCACACCAAUGUACCAAAAUGAUUUAAAUCUGAAUUCAUCCUCACUCUUUAUAGAAACCUGACCCAGAAUUAAGAACUUACUUAUGUUAUUAAUUAAUCCAGUUUAGAAUAAGCUAGGUUUAAAUUAGAUGUCAAAACAAUAUUAUAGAAUUGUUGUAAAUACUUGAAGAAGAGGAACAAAACUCUCCACAACACAGUGACUUAGCAAAAGGAGGAACAUAACUCUACUUAAUAUGACAAGAUGCAUGCUCAAACUGAAAGGAACACCAACACUUAAUAAUUGUAGUGCAUUAUUCUUCAUAAUCAACCCUUUUGCACAAGUUUCCCAACACUUAAUAGUUUGCAUCACAUUCUAAGAACAUACAAUACUUCUUCUAUUACAACUAUCUUGUCAUAGUUUCUUUCAAUAAAAAUCUUUCUCAUUCCUUCUGUUGGUAUAUGCUAGCUUCACCUUUGUCAUUUUGUUUGUAUUAAACUCUUUCAGCCAUUCUUUAUUGUUUGACAUGUAGUUAGAACAAUCAAUAUCUAAAAACCAUCUUUCUGAUUACAACUUUUAUUACUGGUUGUCAUCAUCAAAAGUCAAAACAACCGGAUUUGAGCAUGAGUCUUCUUGAGCCUUUUUUACCAUCUUUCUUGGUAAUUUGGACUUGUAAGGCUUGUUGAACUAAUAUUUUGGUUCCUCUUAUCAUUUCUUCUAUCUUCAUUGUUGUUACAUCCUUUGAUUCUUGAAUUACAACAACUAUGAAAUCAAACUUUGAAGUUAAGGUCCUAGUUACCUUUUCAAUCACUUAUUGAUCAGUAACAACAUCACUACAUGCUUUCAUUUGAUUCACCAUAGUGAUCAAUCUUGAGAAAUAAUAAGCUAUCUUUUGAUCUUCCUCCAUAUCCUUUCUUCUUAAAGAUUGAAGCUUGACCUACUUUACUUUGUCUACACCUUCAUGAUACUUCUCUACUAUGUUCCAAGCUUCCUUGUAUCUUGUCACCUUUGAGAUUUUCUCAAAAAUGUUUGUAUCAACACCUUACUAAAUAUAGAAUAACACUUUACAAUCUUUCUUCUUUGCAUAUUUUAAGUUUGUUCUUUGAUCCUCUAUUUGAUUUGCACCAAGUUUUUCGUAUCCAUUUUGCAUAAUUUCUAGCACUUCUUAUGCUCCAACGGUCUUCAUCAAUGGGCUCCAUCUUUCCCAAUUACUUCCAUCAAGAAUAGAAAAAUUUGCACCAAAAUUGCUUUUCCAUUCAUGAUUUCUUGCAAGAAACUAUAUGGGAUCACUCAACCUAAAUUAUGUUUCCUAGAAUCGUUUUCCCCUCACAAUCUCUCGUGUUUCCUGAUAAAAAAACCAAAGGCUCCGGAUGCCAAUUUGUUAACACACCAUUUUCUUAAUUCUCAAGUAAUGAGUUAAUUUAGAGAAAUUGAGUGAGAAGAGAAAGUUGCACUAUGGAUUGUAGUUCUGGUAAAUUUUCAUCGAGUGAAUGAAAUGAACAUUACAACCUUUUAUAGUUAUGUUGGAUAUAGGAUAUCAUUUUCAUCGAGGCCAAACAUUAACGUAUAUCUUUUUCUUUACAGGUAUGUAGGAUAUCAUUUUCCUCUCUACUUUUAUUAAAAUUUAGAUUAGAUGUGGGCACAUCUAAAUUUUAAGCUUGAAUUUUACAUUUAAAACCAAUUAAAAUCUGAACUAUCCGAUCGUGAGUGAACGGUCCAGAUAUACUGACAACAUGCGGUUGGACUAGAAUCCAAAUUCGUGGGCCCGAGAGUUCAAAAAAUAAUACAUCUUAUUUGAGUAGCGAUAGCGAUAGCGAUAACUAGGAUGGAAAUAGGCUAGAUCGUUAGCCCCGGACCAACGACCUAGCCUACGCCAGGUCAGACUUUUUCUUAAAUAGGAAAGGCCUAUACUUUUAGGCUUUUUAGCUUUAAAUAGGUUUUUUAGAAGUCUAUUUAGCUUUAAAGGUCAUGCCACAAACUAUUAGAAAAGCCUUUUAGGCCUAUUUGGCCGGCCUAGUUAUGUAAAUAUGAAUAAUAUUAUUGAUUAUUAUAUUAUAUACUCUACUUUGAAUUAAAUUUAUGAACUUAUCAGCCUUUAAAGUAAUUUAAGUUUAUUAUAGUUUACAUUAUCUAUCGCAUAUUUAAAUGUAUUAUUAUAUAUUAGACUCGAAAUAUGAUAUAAUAUAUAGUAAAGUUCUCUAAAAUUUCAUGUUAAAUAUUGAAAUAUCGAAAGAGAGUUUAAUAUCGUCGAUUUAUUAGCUCGCUAGUCUAUUUAACUUGGGAUCACGUUACUUAUUUAAAUAUAUGUUCAUAUGAAAUAGGCUUUUAAACAUACUAGCAGACAUAAUGAGGCUUUCAUAAGGUCAGACUCAGACCUAAAAAGUAAGUUUAUGCCAUAUCGCAAGCUAUGCUUAACCCUUACAAAUAUUUGACAGGUCAGACUCAAAGCCUAACUCAGCCUAAUCUAUUUCCAUCCCUAACUAUAAUGAUCUUAUCCCAUACGUGUUCUCAUGGUGAAUAAAAAAGCAGGAAGUCUCGUGUACAUGAUAAGAUUUGGACACAUUAUUAAUGUACACUAAAAAGUGAAAUCAUAGAAAGAAAGAAAAAAAAUUAAAUGAUGUGUUUUAUUACAACAAUUAAAUGUAUAAUUUUGUGUAUAUGCACAAAUACGUUUUCGUUUGAGAUCCUGACCAAUCAAGUAUUUUUUGUACAAAGUGGUCCUUAUAGUGUAUUGUAUGUCUUGUUGGCGAAUCACAUUAAUCAGCAGGAGGGCUCUCUUAAUAAAUUCAUAGGCUCGGUUUUAAUUUUAUAAGAGAAGCAAAAAAAAAAAAAAAAUUGGGCCCCAAAGAAAAUAUAUUAAAAAUCACACUUUGGUGAGUAUACCUCACACUCAACAAAAAAUGGCCACGCCACUAAAGCAAGUUGUACAAAUUAAAAUAAUUUGCUUUUAAUAGAUAUAUAAUCAUUAUUUUCGUGUCUUACAUAUAAAAAAUAUAUAUUUUAGAUUCCAAAAAAUUGGAGGCCCGGUGUCAUCGCCCAGCUUCGACGGCUAUGGGCCGGCCCUGAUCAGCAGGCCAUACGGUCCAUAACUCUGUUAACAAAAAUUGGGUGAAAUUAUUUGAUUUUGUUUGAAUGCAACAAGAGGAAAAUUUUCAGCCAAAUAAAUAGUUUUGUUGUGAGAUGUAGAUUUGGGAUUAUAUAAUUCAUUAAGUUUAACACCAAUAAUUUUAGAUUCAGAUAGUUAUGAAUUUGUGAACAUUGUAAUUGAAGUUUUCCAGCUUAAUGAUUGCAGCAAUACUGUGUCCCCAUCCGAAAAUAAUUCAUAGAUAAUCAAAUAAUAGAGAGAGAAAUCAACAGCGUCAGUGGGCAGUGGCGAAGCCAUGUUUGUUCAUGUGGGUCAGAGUCCAUCCCAUCAAAAUAAUUUAAAUUUAUUAUAGGAAAAAUUACUAUAAUAUUCUUCGUUUGAAAUAAAGUUACACUGGGGUUCACUCUCUUCCCCAUCUCGAAAUACAUUAUAAUCACAUUUUUAGAUGAGUCUAAACGCGUAGAUUAUUAAUUUAAAUUUUUAAAUAUGUAGUUUAAUUUUAUUUUUUUGACACAUGUAGUUUAAUUUUAUUUUUUAAUGAUUAACUUGUUGGGAAGUUCGGGAGAAACAACAGGUUCAAUGCUCCAAGACCAUUAGAGAGGAAUUUUCACAUCUCCCCCUAAAAUUUAAGUUAUUAGGUAAAUGAGUCACCACUUUUAUAUAUCCAAUAUUUUUACCAAUCACAUGUGAUGUGACACUACUUAACUUUUAAUAGUUGAAACCCAACAAUCUCUCUCGGAAAUGUGAGCUUCACCUUCUAUAUCAGGAUCCAACGCAAAAUUCACUUCCGCUCUCCCACCAAAUUGAACCAGAGCUCAUAUCUCAUUCGUUCGGGAGUUCGGAGGUCGCGGAGAAAUAACCGACCAAAGGAUAUCCAAGAUCACAAGAGAGUGAUGUCACAUCUCCACCAAAAACCUUAAUGCAUUAGAUUAAUAAGAUCACUUCUCUUAUAUAUCUAUUAUUUUUUCAAAUCAUAGAUGUUGUGAUACUUAACCACUUACACUUAAAACUCAACACAACUUUGUGUUUUAUGCUUAUAAAAUCAUAAAUCUUGUGUUUGCCUAUAGAAAAAUUCUAUGUGAAGUCACAUGAAUGACUUUUCUGGUGAAGUUAACACUGUAGUAUCAAAAGUGUUGUGAGUAACACUCCACUGUUUGUACAAUGACAUCAAAAGUUCAGUCCUCAUAGUAUCAUCAAUUCAUCAAACUAACAAGAAUACACUUAAUCUAAUUUUAUCCUACCUUGUUUUAAGUGUUACACUUAAGACUAUCACAUAAUAUCAUCAACUCUGUUUGCAUGUUAAAAUGCCAACGAUAAAAUAGUAUCUGUAAGUCCAAGAUGUUGCAAGCAUUACUAGAUGAAUUACUAUUGAUCAUGAAUCAGUAAUCAACAAUUUAAAAAUGAAUCAAACAUUAAGAUUAAAAUUAACUUUUUCAAAAAAGUCAGUUUUCUGACUGCAUCGUAGAAGCUCCCCGGUCUAUGUAUAGUUUAUUUUGGUAUAGUUCAUAUACCUCUUAUGGAUUGCAAGCAUACUUUCAUUUUUAAAUGGGAUAUAUUGGCUCAUUCAAAAAGUGUGUUACUUAUAUGAUUUCAUCAAACUACUUUGCAAUAAUCUGAAUUAGAGAAUAAUCUAAAUCAUUAACAGGCAAAAAAACGUAAAAACAAACAGUAACUUUUAUUCCAUUCAUAAUUUCUUUUUAAGAAGCAUUAAUAAAUUUUUAUUCAUUUCCAUACACACGAUUUAUUAAAAACAAAGCGAGCCUAAGAAACAUUGUCUCAUCACAUGCAUUGUUACAUACUUUUCAGCUUACUUAAUUACAUUUUUUGUGACAGAAGCGAGAUUGAAAUAAAUCAUCGCAAUAGCACUGUGGAGGAGAAGAGCCUGGGCAAAUGCAACUUCUGCAACCUGAGCGACAUGUUUCAACAACAUCAACACAACGACACAUAGAAGGGAUUGUUUUUGUGCAAAUGCACUUAUUACAACAUGUUAUGGCUGUGAAUUUGACAGUGUAAUUAGUAGCAUCACCAUUAGAGACAACUUGAGCUAUGAAGGAUGUUGGAUCGAAACGAGCAUCGACAGUCGCCGUGAAACUUAACAGGAAAACCAAGAAAGCUAAGCUUAUCAUUGUUGCCUUCUUCUUCAUCAACUCCAUUCUUGCUCUCGAAUUUCACAAUUGCUCUCUUUCUACUUAGUAUUAUUAUGUGUCUUUAUUACUUUGCUUUGUGAAGAAGCAUAUGCAGCUACAUGGGGUCUAUUUAUAUAAAAAAGUGUCGGUUUCCGUUUCCUUUCUAUUUUAUUGUCAAAAUUGGAAUUAUUAAGUAGGGAUUGAUCUUGUUGCUUUAUUAAGAAUUAGAAAGGAAAAUGUUUAAGAAUGUUCUUAGAGCGUUAUAUAUUUUCCUUUCCUUGAUUUUUUAUUAUUUGUAGCUGACACUAGUUGUUUUAAUAGAGAAACUUCACCUUCUCUAAGUUAAGGGAGAGAGAAAGGUGGUUUUAGGUCAAUUUUUUUUUGCCUAGAAUCACCUCCCUUUUCUCCUUUUUUUUUUAAUCUAAGUAAGUGGUUUUCAAGUUUGUGGAAAAAAAAAGUGGUUUCCACAUAAAUCGAGUUUUUCCUAGUGUUUUUUUCUUUGUUCGUUGUCUAAGGCAUUAUGUUGUUUGUAGUCUUAUGGAGCGUUAUUUUUUUUUGUCUUUUUACAAGGUUCAUUUAAUUCUUAUUGAAUAAUUGACUUUAAUCAAUUGCCAAUUCAUUCAAUAAUUUGGUUGUCAAAGUUACAAAUCUGAAAGCAUGAAUAUUUAAGUGAUUAUCGGUCGUUUAGCAACACUUCUAAAGUGUUACAAAUUGAUUUCUCACUUGUGCUGCAAUGAAGAAACAUUUCACUAAUUCCAAUUAGUCUCUUAGCAAUGAAAUUUUUCAUGAAUUGCUUUUUUAUCCACCAACUCUUUGUCUUUUCCUCUAUUUAUUCUAUUUCUCUUGAUAUUACCUAUUUAUGGGAAAAUAAGGAAAAAGUAGUAAAAUACUCCUAAAAAUACUAAUUUAUUUAACAAAAUAUAGUAAUAAAAUAUGCAAAUAAUAAUGUUAUCAAACUUCCUCAUGCUCGAACCAUUGCAUGCCCUCGAACAAUUAGUGAUGCAGGAGGGUUUUAUUAGUAAUUUAGUAGUAUUUUAUUAUUUCAUUUUGUUUUAUUUCGGUCUAGAACCUUCUUUUAAUAUUUCGGCCCACAGAUUUGUCAUUUCUUUUCCUAUUUAAACAGAACAUUAUGUAACCUAAGAGGUAACUAUUCAAUAAAAUUAUUUAAGAUUUUUUCUUAAUUUCUGGUGGAUUCAAGAACGUAGCUUGCAAACUUUUUCUUUUCAAUCUAGGUUUAGCGCUUGCUAACCCUACGCUUCCGUAGUGAGUCAAUUAUCUUAGGUAUAAACAAUUUUAAGAUAAGCAUUACAUUAUGGACUAAAGAAGUAAUGUUCAAUUGCAUGCAUUAGUAAAGAAAAUAAAUACUAAUUAACCCUUGACAUAAGAAUACAAUCGAACCACCGUUGUUUUUUUUAUCAUUUUUUUCUGAAAGAUGUAGAUGAUUUAGAAAGGAUGACAUUUCUCUAUUGAAACUUCAUUCCAUUAAACCACUUCUCACACAUUAGAAUGAACAGAGAUGGUGAUUUUUUCCAGUAAGGGGAUAAACAUGUGGAAAUGAUUUCCAAUAUUCAAAACAUGAUUGAUUAGAAAUAUUAGAUAAUGGAUAAUGCAGAUCGUUAAUGCUCUAAACGGCUUAGAUGAAGUAAUUUUAACUUUAGAUGAGCAGUUCAUUAUCACUAAACGAUGGAACAUGUUACCACAAUACACUAUGAGUUUGUUAUUUGAACAAACUACACUAAUUCGAUGCAAUUUUAUUAGGACAAUUAUGUUACAUUGAACUUGUACUCUUCCCUUCAAAUUCCAAUGUCAUAUAUUAUGUUUACAUUGAUACAAAUCUUCACUUCAUUAUUUCUAAUAUUUUUCUCUCUGUCUUACUAACCUCUCUUUUAGAUAAUAUAAAGUUAAUAAAUUUAUAUGAAAAAAUUAUAGAAACUAAUAAAUCUAGUAGUAGUGUUAAAAGGAACAUAUUGUUAUAAAUAUUAAUAUUGGAUGUCCAAAUAGCAAAUGUGUUAGUGGGUCAUACUACUAGGUUAUUGGGCUUAGUUCAUAAGCUACUCUAUUUCCCUAUAAAUAGAGCUCAUUUGUAACAUUGAUACACACAUUAGUGAAUAAGAAUACUGCUUCUAUUCUUUCUUCUUCUCCUUCUCUCUAUUACUCUUUCUAUUUACUUAUUUUCAUAACACGUUAUCAGCACGCUCUAAUCACCGAAAAGGUAUUAAUAUAAUAUAUUUCACUAAUUCAUAGUUUGUUUUCCGUUGGAUAUCAUGUAAAAAAUGUAGCUGUGUAUAUACGUGAAUAGGAUCAUUAGAAAUUGGUUUUUAUUCGUUGUGCCUAUUUAAUUGUUGUGAUAAUUAUACUCUUGUAUCGAUGAUUAUAUAUUACUGUUAUAAUUCCAUCAAAUGGAAUCAGUACCUUAUACUCCCUCCGUCUCUAAUUAUAAGACCCUUUUGCUAAAAUCACGGGAAUUAAGAAAGCGGAUAUUUGUAUUAAAGUUGUUUGUAAUCACUAUUGUUUUUACAAUUUUAUCCUUAAGAGAGAGAGUUAGUUUAUGUUUUCCAUAUGUUACUUAUUGCUGAUUGAAGAAAAAGAUGUAUAAUAAAUAGGGGCGUGUAUGUAAAGAAAUAAUUAAUGUAGUUGGAAAUAACAAAGAGGUCUUAUAAAAAGGGACAAAAAAUAUUCUCAAAAGGAUCUUAUAAUUAGGGACGGAGGGAGUAUAUAGAUACAACAAUUUUUGUUAUGCAAAUUAUAAUGUUUAUUUAUUUUAAUUUAACAUUAAUGCAUCCUUGAAGGACUGCUUAAAAAGAAAUAAAGAAACUCUAAUGAAUUCUUGAAGAAUCCAAUACUAAUGCACCCCUGAAGGAUUGCAUAAACAAAAUUUCUUAAUGAAUUCUUGAAGAAUUCAACACUAAUACUAAUGCAUCCCUGAAGGAUUGCACAUAUAAAAUUUUCUUAAUGAAUUCCUGAAGAAUUCAACAGUAUUACUAAUGCAUCUCUAAAGGAUUGCACAUACAAUAUUUUUUAAUGAAUUCCUGAAGAAUUCAGUUCUAGUGCAUCCUCAGUUAAAAAUCAAUUUUUUAUGAAUUUCUGAUGAAUUCAACAUUAAUACAUCCCUGAAGGAUUACACAAAUAAUUUAUCAAACUUAAUAUAGUUUUUGUUGAACUCAAAUAUUUAAUCCAUGAAGGAUUGCAAAAGUACUACCAUUUUCAUUAUGAUUGUCGUACGAUUGUCCUUGAUUAUAUUUAUGCAUUUUUUGUUGAAUAACAUUUGUAUAUGCAUAAACAACUGCCAUGGUAAAAUAUAAUGGUUAUUAAAGUAUGCAGGUUGCAUGAGUAAUUGAAUUCUUGUACAAUAAUAUCAGUAGCAGACUUGAUAUUUUUCUUUUGGAUAUGCAUGAGACAAUAACAUUAAACGUGUAUCAUUUUAUCAAUUAAUUAUGAGAAUUAUACUUCUCAUUUUUAAAAGAAGGACACGUAGUUAGUAUUCAUGUGUUGCAUUUAUCACGUUAGAAAUUGCAUCACCUAUUUUGUAAUAAUUAUCUUAUAAAUAAAUUAAUAUUAACUCAAGAAGUGUUUAUCAAUAGUAAUGAUAGGAACAAAUCAGCAUACAAUUUUUUUUAUGAAACAAAUCAGCAUACUAUUACACGUACUUAGCAUACAAAUUUAUGGAACAAAUAUUGACACCAACUACAACACAUAUUUAGGAACAAAUCAGCAAUUUUUUUUAACAAAACGAUGGCUGAAAAAAUAUAACACAAAUUUUUUUUGCAUAUAGUUAUAUAACACAGAUUGAAUAGCAUUCUUUUUCAUUCCACAGUCUGAUGAAUCUACUUAAUUUUCUUUUCUUACUCGUUACAUUAUCUAACUUGAUUAAUCUUAUAAUUUGAUGAUAGUAGUAAGCAUGUCAAAUCUCUCAAAACUCCACUUUGAGGCACUAAAAAUUUCUGGACACAACUAUUUGACUUGGGCCGUAGAUGCUGAAAUGUACUUAGCUGCUGAAGGAAAUGCAGAUGCCAUAAAAGAACGAAAUAAGGCAUCCGAACAACAAAAAGCAAAAGCAUUGAUAUUUCUUCGUCACCAUAUUAAUGAAGCACUUAAGAAUGAAUACCUUACUGUGAAAGAUCCACUUGUGCUCUGGAAUAAACUAAAAGAAAGAUACGAGCACUUGAAAACCAUUAUCCUCCCAAAAGCUAGGUAUGAUUGGAUGCAUUUGCGCUUACAUAACUAUAAAUCUGUAACCGCCUAUAAUUCUGAAGUAUACAAAAUUACUUCUCAAUUAGAAUUGUGUGGUGAAAAGGUAACAGAUGCGGAUCUGUUAGAGAAAACAUUUUCAACCUUUCAUGCAUCCAACAUGCUCCUGCAGCAGCAAUACCGUGAAAAGGGGUUUCAAAAAUACUCUGAUUUAAUUUCUUGUCUUCUGGUUGCUGAACAGAACAAUGAGCUUCUAAUGAAAAAUCAUGAAGCUCACCCUGCUGGUGUAGCUCCAUUCCCUGAAGUGAAUGCAUCACAACACAACCAUUUUGGAAAAGGUCUUGGUCGUGGUAGCGGUCGUGGUCGUGGCAAUGUCCAUAGUCGUGAUCGUGGUCAUGCCCACAAUCUUCAUGGAAAAUUCAAAACCCCAUUUUUCCACCAGAAGUGGAAAAAUAAUGAAAAGAUUGAAAAGGAAAAAGGUGGACAAAAUAGCAAAACAAAUGAAAAUAUCUGUUAUUGAUGUGGUGCCAAAGGUCAUUGGUCUCGUACAUGUCGUACUCCAAAGCAUUUGGUUGACCUUUAUCAGCAAUCACUGAAAAACAAAGGAAAAAAGGUUGAAACUCAUUAUGCUUAUAAUGAAGGUGAUGAUGCUGAUUAUGAUAUUUAUGGUGACAUGGAUACUACUCCUUUGGAUAUUGGUGAUUUCUUUGAAGAUCCAAAUGGAAAAAUUGAUCACCUUAUUGGAGAUGGAACCGUGAAGAAGUAGUUUUUUUUAUGAUAGUAAUAAAGUCUUAUGUUUUAGUGUGUUUUGAAUUUCUCCAUGUUAAGUGUGUUUUUGAAUUUCUCAAUGUUAUUGACAAUAAAAGUUACUUUCUCGUUGUUUAAAUAAUUACUUAUCAUUCUUAUUCUUCUUGUUUAUGUAUUUUUGUUCCUAUUUUUUAUAGAAUGAGUAGCUAUGGAGAAAUGUGUCUCGCUGAUAGUGCAACUACCCACACCAUUCUCAAAGAUAAAAAAUAUUUUUCUUACCUAUUAAAAGGAGAAUCGACCGUUAAUACCAUAUCUGGUACUACAAAGAUAAUUGAAGGCUCCGGAAGAGUUAAUAUAUCAUUAUGUGGAGGGACAAAAUUAUAUAUUAAGAAUGCGUUGUACUCACCUAAGUCUCAUAGAAAUUUAUUAAGUUUCAAAGAUAUUCGCCUAAAUGGAUACCAUCUCGAAACAAGAAAUGAAGUAAGUGUUGAAUAUCUUUGCAUCAUAAAACAUGACUUAGAUAAAAUAUGUGUAUUGGAAAAACUACCUACUUUUUCCUCUGGAUUGUACUACACUUACAUCAGUACAAUUGAAGCAAAUGUAAUUGUAAACCAGAAGUUUACAAAUCAUGAUAAAUUUGUGGCUUGACAUGAACGGUUGGGCCAUCCCGGAUCUAUAAUGAUGCGAAAAAUAAUUGAAAAUUCAUGUGGUCAUCAAUUGAAGAGCCAUGAGAUUCUUCAAUCUAAUAAAUUCUCAUGCACUUCUUGUUCACAAGGGAAGUUAAUAACUCGACCAUCACCAACAAAAAUUGGAAGUGAAUCUCUAAAUUUUUUAGAACGUAUACAUGGUGAUAUUUGUGGGCCAAUACACCCACCGUGUGGACCAUUUAGAUAUUUUAUGGUUUUAAUCGAUGCAUCAACUAGAUGGUCACAUGUUUGUUUAUUGUCAACUCGCAACCAGGCGUUUGCAAGAUUGCUAGCUCAAUUAAUUCGAAUAAGAGCUCACUUUCCUGAUUAUCCUGUAAAGAAAAUACGUCUUGAUAACGCUUCUGAGUUUUCAUCCCAAGCAUUCAAUGAGUAUUGCAUGUCCAUUGGAAUUGAUGUUGAACAUCCUGUAGCACAUGUUCAUACACAAAAUGGACUUGCAGAAUCAUUUAUCAAGCGUAUAAAGUUAAUUGCAAGACCACUUCUCAUGAGAAGCAAACUCCCAAUUUCCACUUGGGGACAUGCAAUUUUGUGUAACGCCCUAGUCGUUAUUUUAUUAUUUUUAGAAUUAGUUAGAGUCUUUUGUGUGUUUUUAAUUAAUAUAUCUGAUAUAUGUGGUGUGUAGUAUUUAUUUAUAUAAUUUAUUUAAUAUAAAUAGAAUAAUAUGAAUAAUGGAAUUAAUUAAGAGUUUGGGGAAUAAUUAGAAAUUAAUAGUAAUAAGGGAGGUUUUAAUGAAAAAGGAGAAGUUAUAGUUUUAGAGAGUUAAGGAAAGAAAAGUCAGAAAAACAGUUUAACGUGAAAACAAGUGGAGAAGAGAAAAGCUAAGGCAAGGAGAGAAGACCAAGAGAGAAGAACUUAGGAACUGAUUUUGCUGUGCUAUUUGUCUUUGCAAUUCUAAGGUAAGGGUGGGAUUAUCUUUCAAUAGUCAUAAUAUGUAAUUUCUGAAAAUUAAUCAAUUAAACUAUUCUUAAGGUAAAAUUUGGAAAAUAAGGGUUAAUGAUGAUUUUGAAAGAAAAGGUGUAAGAAUCAGGCUUAUAAUGUUGUAUUUGAAUGAUUAGUAUGAUUUCUUAAUCCAUGUUGUUGAUAUUGAUCGUAAUUGAAAUGAAAAUAGAAUAUGAUGGAUGAAUUUUGGAAGUUCUGUAUGAAUGCUUGAUUGGGCUGAAUUGAUGUUGUUGAUGUUUAGUUGCUGUUCCUUUUGAUGUCUGAUUGUAUAUAGGACUUGUAAACAUUUAUGGAAAACGUUUUGGGUGAUCAGGGGAUUAAAACUGGUUUUUGGAGUGAGGAGAAGUCUGAAAAUCGUAACUUUUACCCUGCCCAGAUGAGUGGUCGCUUAAGCGAAGCACCCGUCGUUUAAGCGAACAUUCAUGUAGCUGCUCAGGAAUUAGAUUUUACCCGUUCGCUUAAGCGAACAGUGAGCGAACUGGUAAGCGAAAAUUAAGUUUGAUUCUGCCAAGAGUUCGCUUAAGCGAGCCGUGAGCGACCCAUAAGCGAACUGAACCCAGACCUACUGUAAGAUGGUCGCUUAAGCGAGCUAGCCGUCGCUUAAGCAAACUGAGUGUUAGUCAGUCUUUUUCUGAACCUUGCUUCGUGCACUAAGGGAUCCUUUUGAGCACUUCUAGGUGUUCCUUCUAGCUUGUAUAACCUUUGUUUAGACAUAAAAUCCUACUUAAUUUAUGAUGAUAUUUAGUUGGUUAACUUUUAUGAAUUUUGAAGAUGUUGGAAUACUUGAAUCAAGUGAAUGAAACAUGUUGCAUUAAGGGGUGGUGAGUCAUAUGAGUACAUAUGCAUUUGUCGUUGAGUUGUAUGCAGAUAUACACAAGUGGAGUCAGUUGCAUAAGCAUAAAAAUGAUGUUAUGAUGAGGACUUCGGUCCUGAAACGCUUUGUCGUUCAAAAACGAUGGAACACUAUGUUGUUCAAAACGAUGUUAUGAUGAGGACUCAUGUCCUGAUAAAAGAAUGCUUUAACCAUUCUAUAAAGAUGAGGGCUUCGGCCCUGUUAUGGUACCACAUGCAUAGUUGCAAUUGUUGAGGAGUCUUAGUAGAGUUGUCAUGUCCUGCAUGAGUCUUAGAGGUGAAGUCGGGUUGUCACAUGAGUCAUUGUUUACUAUUUCUAUUACUGUUGGAUGAUGAAGUUGCUAAUGAUGCUAUACUAUAAUUGCUGAAUGAUUAUGAUGAUAGGGUGUUAGAUUCAUUUAUGUUAUUAUAUAUUAUUAUUAUUGUUUGAGAAUCUCACCCCUUCUGCUUGAAAAUGUUGCCCUUCCUAUGGGUAACUUGCAGGUGAUCCUGAGUAGUAGGUGGUGGCUCACAAUGUCUAGGGCUCUGAUACGUGGGAGGAGAUUUUUAUUGCUUGAAUUCUUUCCUAUGUAUCAUUUUUGAAAUAUUGUUGAUGUAGCCCUUUGUGAUUGAAUUUUAUGUUGAAAUGGCUUUCAUGCCAAGAAUAAUUAUUGUAGACUUAUUGAUGUUACAAAUAUUCCGCUGCAAGUUUAAUGACAAUUUUAUGAAUGACGUUUGAUUAAAUAGAUUUUUUAUAUACACUCUAUUUAGAAGACUUUUAAAUGAAGAAAUGUGGCAUGCCCGUUAUGGUUACUCUGAUGAUUGAUGUAUUAUUAUUAUUUUAAUUGAUUUUGGGAAACGGGGUGUUACAUUUUGCAUGCUGCAACAUUGAUUCGCAUCAAGCCAACAAGUUAUCAUGACUCUUCCCCUUUGAAAUUGGUUUUUGGUCAAGAACCUAAUAUUUCCCAUCUACGAAUUUUUGGAUGUGCGGUGUAUGUUCCAAUUUCUCCACCACAACGCACUAAGAUGAGUCCUCAAUGAAGGUUGGGAAUAUACGUUGGAUAUGAAUCUCCAUCAAUUAUAAACUAUCUUGAGCCCACAACAGGAGAUUUAUUUACAGCUAGGUUUGCUGAUUGUCACUUUGAUGAAUCAAAUUUCCCAACAUUAGGGGGAGAGAAAAUGCAGCUGAAAAAGGAAAUCAGUUGGAAUGAACUUUCAUUGUCUCAUCUUGAUCCUCGAACUAAACAAUGUGAACUAGAAGUUCAAAAGAUAAUUCAUUUGCAAAGCUUAGCAAACCAAUUGCCAAAUGCAUUCACUGAUCCAAAAAAUGUGACUAAAUCAUACAUACCAGCUGCUAAUGCUCCAAUAAAAAUGGAUGUUCCUGUUGGACUAUCUCAUAUUGCAAACGAGUCUCAACCACGCAUGAAGCGUGGUAGACCAAUCGGUUCCAAAGAUAAAAAUCCUCGAGCAAGAAAAGGAGCUAAAAGAAAAGAUGGUCCAAACGAGGAUAUAGAAACUUUAAAAGAGCCUUCUGACAUAAUCAAUAUUUCAGUUCCAGAAGAACCUAAUCAGGCACCUGAAAUACAUGAAAAUCAAGAGAUCUCCAUAAAUUAUGUCACCAAUGGAAUACAAUGGAACCGACAUGAAGUCAACGUUGACGAUAUUUUUGCAUAUAAUAUAGCGCUAAAUGUGAUGAGUGAUAACGAGGAUCAUGAACCAAGGUCUAUUAAAGAUUGUAGACAAAGCGAGAAUUGGCCAAAAUGGAAAGAUGCAAUUAAAGCAGAAUUAUACUCACUCAACAAGAGAAAAGUCUUUGGACCUGUCGUCCAAACACCUAAAGGAGUGAAACCAGUUGGGUAUAAAUGGGUGUUUGUGCGAAAACGUAAUGAAAAUGGUGAAAUUGCAAGAUAUAAAGCAAGACUCGUUGCUCAAGGAUUUUCGCAAAGACCUGGGAUUGACUUUAAUGAGACAUAUUCACCUAUAGUUGAUGCAACUACUUUUAGAUACUUAAUUAGUCUUAUAGCUUAUGAAGGGCUAAAUUUGCACAUGAUGGAUGUGGUUACUGCCUACUUGUAUGGCUCACUUGAUAGUGACAUCUACAUGAAGAUCCCUGAAGGAUUUAACUUGCCUGAUACAAAUAGUUCAGGAUCUAGGGAAGACUACUCCAUAAAAUUAAAUAAAUCUCUCUAUGGGCUAAAACAAUCUGGACGCAUGUGGUAUAAUCGGCUCAGUGAAUAUUUGCUAAAGGAGGGAUACAAAAAUGACUCUAUUUGCCCAUGUAUUUUUAUGAAAAGAUCUGAAAAUGAAUUUGCUAUAAUUGUUGUCUAUGUUGAUGACAUAAACAUAAUUGGGACUCCCGAAGAGCUUCCAAAAGCGAUAGAUUGCCUGAAGAAAGAAUUCGAAAUGAAAGAUUUGGGAAAGACAAAGUUUUGUCUCGGAUUGCAAAUCGAACAUUUAAAUAAUGGAAUCUUUGUGCAUCAAGAAACUUACAUAGCAAAAGUGUUAAAACGUUUCUACAUGGAAAAAUCUCAUCCAUUGCCUACUCCAAUGGUUGUUAGAUCACUAGACGUGGAGAAAGAUCCUUUCAGACCUCGAGAAGAAGGCGAAGAACUACUUGGUCCUGAAGUACCAUAUCUUAGUGCAAUAGGAGCACUAAUGUACCUUGCUAAUUAUACGCGUCCAGAUAUAUCAUUUUCUGUCAACCUAUUAUCAAGAUACAGUUCUUAACCUACACAAAGACAUUGGAAUGGGGUCAAGCAUGUAUUUCGUUAUCUUCGAGGUACAAUGGAUAUGAGUUUGUUUUAUCCUAAAGUACCCAAACUAGAAUUAAUUGGUUAUGCAGAUGCAGGUUAUUUAUCAGAUCCUUAUCAUGGUAGAUCACAAACAGGUUAUUUGUUUACAAGUGGAAAUACAGCAAUUUCAUGGAGAUCUGUGAAACAGACAAUAACAGCAACAUCAUCAAAUCACGCGGAACUUUUAGCAUUACAUGAGGCAAGUAGAGAAUGUGUUUGGUUAAGAUCCAUGAGUCAGCACAUCCAAAAGAAUUGUGGUUUAUCCUCCGGAAGAAUGGAUGAAACAAUAAUUUACGAAGAUAAUACAGCAUGCAUCGCUCAGUUGAAAGAAGGAUACAUUAAAGGAGACCGAACAAAACACAUUUCUCCAAAAUUCUUUUUCACUCAUGAUCUUCAGAAGGAUGAUGAUAUCAGCAUUCAACAAAUUCGGUCGUGUGAUAAUCUUGCAGAUGUUUUUACAAAGUCGCUCCCAAGUAAAGUUUUUGAGAAACUUGUACUAAGAAUUGCUCUUCGCCGUCUAAGAGAUAUUUGUCUUCAUGAGGGGGAGAAAUAAAUGUGUUCUGCACUCUUUUUUCCUUCACCAAGGUUUUAUCCCAUUGGGUUUUCCUGGUAAGGUUUUUAACGAGGCAAUUCAAACUCAAAAGGAUAUUGUACUCUUUUUCCUUCACUAGAAUUUUUUUUCCCACGGGGUUUUAUUUUAGUAAGGUUUUAAUGAGGCAUAUCCUCGAUGGACAUCCAAGGGGGAGUGUUAUUAUUAAUAUUGGAUGUCCAAAUAGAAAAUGUGUUAGUGGGCCAUACUACUAGGUUAUUGGGCUUAGUUCAUAAGCUACUCUAUUUCCCUAUAAAUAGAGCUCAUUUGUAACAUUGAUACACACAUUAGUGAAUAAGAAUACUGCUUCUAUUCUUUCUUCUUCUCCUUCUCUCUAUUACUCUCUCUAUUUACUUAUUUUCAUAACACAUAUACAAUAAUUUAUUAAAUUUCACUUAAUUUAACUAUUCUAUUAAGGGUUAAAUAUGUUUUUGGUCCCUAUAAAUAUGUCAACUUUUCGUUUUAGUCCCUCUAAAAUUUUCCUUCAACUUUUAGUCCCUAUAAAAUUUUCAAUCACUACUUUUGGUCCCUAUUUUUAAUUUAAUUUUUGUAUUUUUUAAUAAAGUUGUGCAGAAAUGUGUCAAAUAUUCUAAAAACAAUUCCUAAAAGAAAUUAGAUUUUUUUAACAAAACACAAAUUAAAUAUGAAUUUUUAACCAUAAACAAUAUAAAAAUUCAUAUUAAAUUCAUGUUUUGUUAAAAAAUUCUGAAUUUUUUUUGGAGUGAUUCUUAUAAUAUUUUGAAUUUUUCUGGAAAAUUUUAUUAAAUAAUAUAAAUUCUACAUAUGAGUUUACUUUAAAAGAGGGAUCAAAAGUGAAGAUUGAAAACUUUAUAGGGACUAAAAUUUGAAGGAAAAUUUUAGAGGGACUAAAACGAAAAGUUAACAUAUUUAUAGGGACCAAAAAUAUAUUUAACCCUUCUAUUAAUUACAAUCAUUGUUCUAGUGAGCUUAAUUAUUAAUUGAUAUGAACAAUGCAUAAUAUAUCCAAGGUUCAGAGUUCUACAAUCAUUUCCUUAAAAAUUGAAUUAUGAAUAUGAUAUAGCAUGUUAGAGUAAUUUUAUUGGAUAUAUAUAUAUAUAUAUAUAUAGGAUCCGUUAACACCAAAUCUUAUCCGUCAGUUAUUUUAAUCCAAAGGUCCAUAAUUAAUUUGUGUUUCUUUUUCUAGUGUAUCAUCACCCAGACACAAUUAUUGCUUUUAGUGAUUGAAAAACUCAAACCGAAAACAUGGAGCAAUGAUACUCGUAAUUCUCUCCUGGGAAAAUUGUUUUUCUCUUCCCCCAUUCCUAUAAAUAUUAGGCUUAAUUGAUCUGCUGGUCCCUUAACUUAUUUCUUUUAUUCAAUUUGGUCCCAUAAGUUUUAACUUUCUCAAACACGUCCCUUAACUUAUUUAUUUUAUUCAAUUUGGUUCAAUUUUGAUAAUUUUAAUCCCUUAAAAAAUGAGACCGUAGGAUUACGGAGGUCUAUCAGAUUUUAUAGUGUAUCACCAACACCUAAUUUAUUUAUUUUCUUCUUUUUCUUCCCUCAUCUUCAUCUACAUUCAUUCUUCAUCAAUAUUCAUCAAUAAAACCCAGGAAAAAAAAAAUUAAACCUACUACACCACCAUCAUUUUCAUCUUCAUCUAUCAUCAUCAACACCCUCCAAUCACUCCAUCAUAACCAUCCCAAAAUCAAACCCAAAAACAUCAUCAUCGAUCUUCAACGUUGUUGUUCCUUUUCACUUUGAACAACAUUGCUCUUUGUUUCAAUUCCAACCCGUUAACAUAAUCAUAAAACCCAUCAAGAACCCAUUAACAUAAUCAUAAAACCCAUAAAAAAAAACAUCAUUUUUUUUCAUCUUCAAACGUUAAUUCUUAGCUGGGUUGUAAAAAAAAAAAAUCCAACUUUGAUUAUUAAAGGUGUGAUUUUUAUCUUGCUUUUUGGUUAAAGAUUGAAUCUUUAUUGAAGUUUAAUGUGUUUUUUUUCAUCUGGGUUUUGCUUUUUUGUUGUUGUUGUUGUAGGUGUUGAACUUGUUGAAGUGAAGUUUAUUUGAUUUUGUGUUUGUGUUCAUCUAAUGGUAAGUGAUAAUUACCAGAAGAUGAUGUCUGAUGUAGCCGUUCGAUCGAUGGUGAAAAAUGGUGAUUACGUUGAAGAAACGGAAGAACAAUAGAAACACAUAAGGAAACAACAUAAGUGCAUCAGGAAUCAAAUAUUCAGAAGGAACAGAAUUGGAAAUGGAAUCAAAAUUGGAUUGGAAUUGAUUUCCCAACAACAAAAACGCAGUAGAACUAAAAGGUUAAAAACGCUUUUGAAACAGGAACAACAAUGUGUCAUGAAUCAGAGGUUUAAACCCAUUUUCUCCUUUUAAUCAAACACAUAAACAUCAAUUAAGCAACACAAGUAAACAACAUCAAUAUGAGAAAAGAAGAAGCCAAAUCUUCUCAGAUCUAAGUGUUCUGUUAAGGUGGUGGUAAUGGUGGUGGUGGUUUUUGAUUCGACAGUGAUGCCGAUGGUGAAGGGUUGGAGAUUAGAGAAUGAAAGAGACAUGAAAGUUGCACUAUUGAGAAUGAAGAUGAAUAGGAUGGAAGAAGAAGAAAGUAAAUAAAUUAGGUGUUGGUGAUGCACUAUAAAAUCUGAUAGACCUCUGCAAUCCAACGGUCUCUUUUUUUAGGGGAUUAAAAUUAUCAAAAUUGGACUAAAUUGAAUAAAAUAAAUAAAUUAAGGGACGUGUUUGAGAAAGUUAAGACUUAUGGGACCAAAUUGAAUAAAAGAAAUAAGUUAAAGGACCGGCAGAUCAUUUAAGCCUAAAUAUUAUUAUUCUUGUUUCUAUCUCCUUUCCCUCUUAUUUAACUCCUCCUAUGUAUUACAGCACAUGAAGGAAAUUUAUGUCAAUCUUAUUAUAACAAUUACAAUUGGAUGAGCUUCCUUCAAAACAAAAUUACAAAUUGGAUGAGUUUGCUUUUAAAUGAUUGGAUAUCAAAAAAGUGAAUUGUAUGGUUUUGGUAGAAUGGAAAACUCCAUUACAAUUUUAUUCUGAUUACGGCAUAAAAAAAGAAAUCUCAGCAAAGUCAUUGGCUUUGAAUUGGUACAAUUAGUAUGUAGGAGAAGAGAUCAUAGAGGAAAUUGCAUUUAACAACUAAUAUUUCCAAUUCAUUUUAAACAAUAAUAUCUUUGAAGUAUUUUAAUUAUUCAACUAUGGAGUAUUUCAAUUUUGCAGACAAGAGAAUAAGGAGAAUUAUGAUAUGAUUAUGUUUCCAAUUUAGGUUUUGUAAUCAUUAAAAACAAUAAUAGUGUGUGAUUGAAAAAAAAAAGAUACACAAUAAAUAAAAAUGUGGCACUAUUAUUAACUUUUGAUUAAAUAAGAUCAACAGUUGAGAUUUGGUGUCAACGAAUCCGUGAUUCAUUAUGAAACCCAUAUACAUGAUACCCAUAUACAUGAUACGAUACUUACAUUUAUACAUGAUACCCAUAUAAUAAAAAUGUGGCACUAUUAUGAAACCCAUAUACAUGAUACGAUACGGCACUGAUACGGCGAUACGGGAAAAUUUAAAAAUUUAAGAUACGAUACGGUUCAGAUACUUCAAUAAAAAAUUAAAUUUAAACUACAUAUUAAAACUUAAAAUACAAAAUAUGGACUAAAACUCAAAAGCAAAAAAAUUGGCGCAAAACCUACACCAAACAGACAUAAAAAAACGAUAAGGCAUAACAAUGAAAUUGUCUUCACACAACAAUCAAUGCACACUAGCAUCGUUAUCAAACAAACAAAGAGACACAAAACAUACGGCGACAACAAUAGAAAUAUAAAUGUAAGUAAUAUUGAUAUAUCCUAAAUAAAAAAUAUCAUUACGUAGUCAAUUACAUGUGUACCAAAUAUAAUAGAAAUAUCUGGUAGCCCGCACAUAUCAGUUUUCCACCGCAUAUCGCUCGUAUCCCAGAUGUAUCUUAAAAGUAUCGGAUAAUUAUUUUAAAUUUUUUUUUUUUAAUCUUCAGAUACUUUCUUAAUACAUAUCAAAAAGUAUUGAACAAACAUCGAUGCAUGAUACAUAAAAGAUAUGAUACAUCAUCUAUUUUAAAGUAUAUGAACAUCACAUGUGAUUCAUAAUCAUACACUUCAUAUCAUACCCUACGGAGAAAGAAAGAACCGACAAUAUUAGUAUUAUAUUGGACGCGAGGUUCACGCUAUUGUAUCCUCUGAAUUGUGUUUUUAGGAGUAUUCUCUGAAUUGUUAAUUUUUUAUUUAUUUUCAAGUAUAAUAUUGUACACAUGCUGAUUUAUUUUUUACUAAUGAAAUUUGGGUUAAAUAUGUUUUUGAUCCCUAUAAAUAUGUCAAAUUUUCGUUUUAGUCCCUAUAAAAUUUUCCUUCAACUUUUAGUCCCUAUAAAAUUUUCAAUCACUACUUUUGGUCCCUAUUUUUAUUUUAAUUUUUGUAUUUUUUAAUAAAAUUGUGCAGAAAUAUGUCAAAUAUUCUAAAAACAAUUCCUAAAAAAAAAUUAGAUUUUUUAAAAAAAAAACAAAUUAAAUAUGAAUUUUUAACCCUAAACAAUAUAAAAAUUCAUAUAAAAUUCAUGUUUUGUUAAAAAAUUCUUAAUUUUUUUUUGGAGUCAUUCUUAUAAUAUUUUGAAUUUUUGUGAAAAAUUUUAUUAAAUAAUAUGAAUUCUACAUAUGAGUUUACUUUAAAAGAGGGACCAAAAGUGAAGAUUGAAAACUUUAUAGGGACUAAAAGUUGAAGGAAAAUUUUAGAGAGACUAAAACAAAAAGUUGACAUAUUUAUAGGGACCAAAAACAUAUUCAACCCAUGAAAUUUUUACAUCAAUGAACAAGAUUUUUUUUUUUUUAACAUCUAGAAACUAACAACGUAAUCAAUCCCAUAAUGAAAGACAUCACACUAAAAAAAAUCUAAGAUUUGCUACCAUAAGUGUGCUAGGAACAUUUUUUAUUUUGUUGAUAGAAUGGUGUGCUAGGAAAUUUAAUGGUAGUGAAUAUCAACAUAAUUAACUACCAUUUGACUAAUUAGUCUUAUUUUGAUUUUUUAUACGUUUUAAUAAAUAUUGUAAAAUAUCAUUUUUGUUUAAAAAAAAAAAUCUCAUUAUCUUCCUUACAAAAAAAACUCAUUCUCUCUGAAUGCACAAACACCACACGACCAAAACUCUCACACUUCCGAUCACCGUCACUGUCACCGUAGCUUGCACCGAUCAACACCGGCUCUCCGAUCUACUCCGCCUCUCUCAUCACCAUUGUUUCUUUUCCGAUCACCACCGUCUCGAUCAAUCACAUCCUUAUGAGUUUACGAUCCAUUGACGCAUUCCUCUGAUCUGAAAUCUCUCUCUCUCUCCCUCCCUCCCUCCCUCCCUCCCUCCCUCCUCCGAUCUAAACUGUUUCUCAUCAACUUGUGUCUUUGAUCUUCGUUGAUUCUGCAAUCAACGAUCUCUCAUUUUUACCUCUUUUCUCAGGUAAUUUCUUAAACUAACAUUAAUUUCUAAUAUAUUAUGUUGAUAUUCACUAUCAUUAAAUUUCCUACCACAUUCAUGGUAGCAAAUCUUAGAUUUUAUUCUUGUAGUGUUGUAUAUGAAAAAUUCAAAUGGAGUUUUAUUUUUUGACAUAUUUUAUUUAAAAAAAUAUGAAAAGUUUCAAAAACUAACUCAACUUAAAUUAUUUAAUUAUGUUAAACCAACUAUAUAAAUAUAAAUGGAGGUUUAGUAGCUCAAUUAAUUUGAAGUAAGGGUUAAGUAGAUAGAGACUCUGAGUUCAAAUCCGGACGAAGGUGAAAAAAAUUAUAUAAAUAUCAAUAUUAAAAAAUAUUGUUUGAGAGAAAGAGAGAGAGUGUUUGUAUAAUAUUAAACAAGUCGAAUUAUAUAUAACUCAUUUAUAUUUUGAAUAACGCUCGAGUAGACUUGAUUUAUUGGGAGCUCUAACUCGCCCCCUCCAUCCCACAAUAAUGUUCAAUGAUAUAUUGAGUACUUUUUUCUAGUUAUUUCAUCUAAUUAAUAUUAUUUGUAUAACUAACAAUGGAUUGGUGCAAGUGGUAAGGACUUGAGCCUAUUAAACAUGUGAUUAGUCGUUCGAUUUCUGACUCUUGAGUAUUAAACAAAUCUAGUUGGAAGGGGAGAACCUGCCUUAUAUGUCCCACAAGUUUCUUAUGGUAGUCACCUUUAAAUGACGAUGUAAAAUUCAUACUAAUAUAACAAAACCAAAAGAAUUUGCAUCACACUCAAGUCAAUAUAUUACACAUCGUAUUUAUGAUGAUAACUCUCGGUUUCAUUUAUUCACUUUUUAAUCUGUUCGAAUGUCGUAGUGGAUGGAAAAAGUAAUUGCCUAAUUCUUAUCAGCAUGACAAGAAAAAACACAUAUACUAACAUUUUAUUAAAGAAAAGUUAGAUGGUGAAUUAAUAACUACCACCUACAUUUCCUCUAGGUAUUAGUUGAUAAAUGUUUUAACAAAUAGUUAGAAUCAAUAUAAUUAUUCAACCAACUAACUUGCAAUUUGAGGAGGUGUGUUGUAGAUAAGUAUGUAAGAAUAUUUCUAAUUAUUUUCAUUACUAGUAUUCUUCCAAUUGAUCAAGCCUAUUAGAUUUACAAUACUUUGUUUAAGCAAAUGAGCACUUAUACUAUUUUCACAAUUUUAAAAUAUAUUAAAAUUAUUUGUUUGCAUUCACUUUAAUAAUAACUUUUUAAUAAUCACUCUCACAUUAAAAGAGUAAUGUGUGUUAAAAAGAGAGUGUCAAGAUAAGAUAAGUGUUACUACCACUUUUCAUGUUCUAAUUAACAUGUGUUAAAUCCAAAUAAACUAUAGAUAAAGAGGAGUACUAUAAACAUUUUUUUUAACACUCACUCUUCAUAGAGUGUGUUCCUAGAAUUCAUCCUAGAUAAGUUGUUCCAUCUCUAAAAUAAAUUAUUCCACACUUACACUUAUAUAAUUAGAGAUGAGAAUAGAGCUGGUCGAUGAUUACUAUGCAACGCCCCAUUAUUUUAGUUUUGGUUUGAUCCAUGUUAAGAUAAAUGCAAACUUUAUUCCCUCCCUGGAUUUGGAAUAUUUUCUAGUAUUCUAAAUUCUAAUUGAUUAGAACUAUGUUACUAAUGUAUAAUUUAAUUUUUAAAACCUGCAUCUCUUUACUACAAAAGACCAUUCUAUGUUUCACGCCUAACUAUUGAUCUAUUGAAUUUAAAUCGAGUCAUGAUAAUACAACAAUAAAGCUUUUGCACUGACGUAAUCUUAUCUGAUUCAAGAGGUUACUCUUCGCGAUUCCACGCGGGGAUUUGAAUAUAUUUUAUACAAAUGUGCAUGUGUGUGUGUGUCUGCAUAGGGUAUUCUGUUAAAAAAAGUCGAUUAUUAGGUUGGAAAAUCGUUUAACUUAUAAAACACACUUUUUAAACAAGAGUUUGCAACAUAUAUAUAGUACUCCUAAAAGAAAUGAAAUUUCAACAGAACAACAAUAUUUUUUUGCAAGGAAACAAAACAUAUGUAGUACUAUAAUAUAAGGAAAACAGAGUUGCACAAUCUAUUGAUACAUAAACAUUAUAUGUUUGUAUUAUUGAAAUUUUGUCAUUCUUAGUGACCUUCAAGUUGAGACUUCAUAGGAAUUACGUUACAAGGUUCAUAGCAGAAGUUAGUGUGAUCCAUACAUCGACACUGCGGUGGAAUUGUGCUUUUACAAACACAUAAUUUGCAAGCUGAGUUGCAUUUAUUUUUCACAAUAUCUGCACAACGACACAGAGGAGGGAUUGUUGUUGUGCAAUGACAAUUAUCACAACACGAUGUUGUGAUCAAUUUGACAUUAGAAAGCACUUGAGUGUUGAGGGAGAUUGGAUCAAAGCGAGCGUCAACUGUUGCUGUGAAGUUCAACAAGAAAAGCAAUGAAGCCACGUUCAGCAAGGCCUUGUUCAAUUCCAUCUCUCUCUGAUUUUGUAAUAUAAGGAGGCUAGCAAUUAUGUAUUUAUAUAUCUCUUAAUUUGAAGGAAUGUAACUUAUAAAGAUCUUUGGUGUCCAACAUUGACACCACACUGAUACUUCAAAUUAAAACUAUGUCUAGUGCCCAAUGCUUUUCAGCGGUGUAUGAGAUUGACACCACGCCCACGCGAUGUCUUGGUGUUGGAGUCAGUGAUUCAUAGAAUGCAACUACAAAAUCUACUUUUGAAUAAAUCUCUAUGCAUUGUAUUGUUGAACACUAAAAUAUGACGAUUUUAAGGGGUUGCCGGUUUGUGGUGGAGUGUUUUGAAGAAUCUUAUUCGGCAUUUGAUGACACUUUAUAUGCUUUUCAUAGGUUAAUUCCGCUUUCAUGCUUUGUUUUGUUGCAUAGAUAUCAUAUUUCGUUUGUAUCAUGAAAUUCCAUAGUUGAUUAAUGACCGAUUAAUAAAGUAAGUAAUAUUUUUUUUGACAAGUAUAAAGUAAGUAAUAUAUAUGGUUAAUUUGUCUGUUAAUGAACCAUAGUUUGUUCUUUUUACUAAAUUAAUGAAUAAUAGUUGAUAAACUAAGGAUUUGCUAUAUAUCAAUUAACUACGGAAUUUAGUGAUGUUACAAUACUUUUAAAUAUACAUGGACAUGGGGACACUCCACCAGACGUGACACUGACACAUAAACGUAUAAUACUUUAAGAAAAUAAAGAUGAUUAAAUUGAAUGUAUAACAUGUGUCAGUACUGCCCAUGGUGUGAAUCAUGACACAUGCCAAGCACUAGAUGCGCAAUUGAUCUUUCGAUGUUACAUAUUAAUUAACUUAGCUGAUUUAUUUCACUUAUGAUGUUUCUCCAUUUGAUUAUCUUGAGACUCUUUGUUUGAUCCAAAAAGGUAGUCUUUCACAGUACUCUCUGCUGAAAUGAAAGCACGCCCUUCUUAAUCUGACAUCAAAAGAUUGAACCAUCAGAUGCUAGAUGCUGGAAAGGAAAAUGUUCCUACCAUUUCUCUUCAGUAAGAAAGAAAAUAUUCUUAGCAUUUGAGCAAAUUAAUUUUUUAUACAUGGCAUCUUUUCAGCUCUUGAUUUUGGGGUCAAUGUGUAUGCGUGUCCACUUAAAAACCUUUAGCUGCUCUAAAGCAAUGAAUAUUGUGUUUGGACUGGUUUUACAACCCAAAAAGGCAUAGCGGCGCAGAGGAAUUAAAAAUUAGAAACACAAAUUUAGCAUAUAAUAGUAGAAGAUAAAUGACAUAUAACCAGAAAUAUGAAGGCCACUUUGGAAAUUCAGGAUCAAACAAUUUUGUGGCUUUAAUCUCUGUUAAGUUUUCUAUGAGCAAGUCAAUCUUGUUGCAUAUGAAUUGAGUUAGUCAGGGAGAGAAUGCAUAUAUGGCUAAUCCUCAAGUUCUAUAGUUGAUGUCAAGUUACAUUGCCACUUCUAUAUAAUGACAUAAGUGACAAUUGUUUUGGUAAAAAUAAAGGUGUAUUAAAUUUGACACGUUGGUGUCAAAACAUAUCCCUCGUGAUUUAAUAGUUACGCAAAACUCUUUAAGCUACGUAUCAGUAAGCAACGACCAAGGGAUAAAACUACUAAAACUCUUGUUUUAGGCCCGCCAACAAUUUAUGAAGAAGACAAAAAGUCCUCGUAUAAUAAAAUUUGUUUUAAGCCUCGCAUACUUUUAAAAACUAUUGUGCUGGACUCUAGUAUCAUUUCAAGAGAAGAAUUUUAAAACACAAUACAAUUAGUGGUAACAAACAUUUAUUGGCGAAAACAAACAACAUUAUCAAGUAACUUAUAUUCUGAUUACCAUCCCUAUCUCUGAAUCCUAGUUACAUGGUGGAUAGCAAAAGUUGGUGAUAUCAACACAACGACAAAGAACAGGUGGUGAUGGUAGACAUGCACAAAGUUUGCAAGCUGAGUUGCAAGUUUUAUUAAGAUCUGCACAAUGACAUUGAGGAGGCCUUGAUUUUGUGCAAUAACAUUUAUCACAACAUGCUGUCGCUGUGGUUGUUGAUUUUUUGACAUAGUAACUUGCAUCACCAUUGGGGAGAACUUGAGUGACGAGGGAGCUUGGAUCAAAGUGAGCAUCAAUUGUUGUGGCAAAACCCAAGAUAAAAAGUAACAAAACUACCUUCAUCUAUAUGAUAUCUAUUUUAUCCUUAAUUGUAUACGAGGAAGCAAAUAAUUGGCAGGUCUAUAUAUAUAUAUAUAUAUAUGAAUCUGAUUUGAAUGAGACCUAUAACUAGUGACAAUGUCUUACUUUACUUCCAUUUUUAGAAAUGUAUACAUCAUCAUUACACAAACGUACAAUUUAGGGGCUGUCGGUUAGCAUAGUAUCAUAGUUGUGGAUAAUCUUUGUGAGGUAUUUCAAGAAAUUUCCAUAAUUUUCUAUUCUCUUGUUUUCUACAAUACAUUUACCAAUUGAAAUGGUUUAGUACAUUUGCAUUCUAAACUAAUAAAUCAACGAUAAAUUUUAUGAAUUAAGAGUGUGUUUGGAUGGAGGAAUAUUUUGAGGUAAUGUAAUGUUUUGAAAGAAUUUAAAUUAGAUUUGAAGUGAUUGAACGACUAUCAACUGUCUCUUUUUUUUUUUUUUUGGUACAUUAUCAACUGUCUUUUUAGUUAAAAUUAAAACAAUCUCAGUUAUACAAUUGUGAUCAUCAUUCAUUACAACACCCUCUAGAGAAUCCUAUUCCCAACUUGACCGGCCUACAAUUUGUAAAAGACAAACUCUAUGGCCUAGUAGUAAUUUUAUUCAAUUGAUUAUUUAUUUAUUCAUUUCAGUACAAAAAAAAAAAAAAAGCCUAAAACACUUUGUCUCAUUACACCCACGCAAAUUGUUUUUUUUCUUCUAGGAAAUAAGCUUCUUUCAUUGACAUGCUAAAGUACCAUGAGUCCAAUCAAAAUGAUCAUAGACUAGGACAUUGUCCAUCUAUAUUUUAUGAUCAGAAUACAUUAAGGCGUUAACGAAACCAAAUCGAAAACUUAACAACCAAACUAAAAUCUUCCAUAUGUGAUCAACGGUCAACAAUAAAUCGAGAUCUAUAGUCUUUGAAUUCAUCCAACUUCCUAAGAUAUAUUUAUAAGUGUUCACCCAAAUCCACUAUAUGUAAUCUUUAAGAUGACCAAUUGUGCCACAUAUUGAAAAGACAUUUGCAAAGUCAAUAGAGUACUAGAUUUAAUUAUAGCUAUCAUAAGCCUCUUACUUCUUUCAAAAAAAUAAUCAUAAGCCUCUUCCCUGAGAUAUAGUACUUAUUAAGCGGGUCCUUUUCAAAAAUAUUAUCAAACAUACGAGGAGCAAAACUAAAGCAAAUUAAUAUAAAACCCAGCGGGAAAACAAGCAUAACAAUGAAACGAAAAAACAUAAGUAAAAAUAAAAACCUUAGGAUCUAUGACAUGUUGAUUCGUCAAACAUUAAUCGUAUCCAUUAAUAGUUUCUUAUUAAUAAUAUUGAAAUACAAAGAAAAAGAGGAUAACAUAAGCACUUCUUAGCUUUUGGUUUUGUAUCAACUAAAACCUAUUAUAUCAUGUAACCGUCACUUUGGUCCUCGAAUGUGUAACGAAUAGUCACAAUAGUUUUUCAAUGUAUCAAAAUUUUAAAAUAUAUAGUCUCUAAUUGUGUACUUUAUUAGUCAAAAUAGUCUUUGAUGUUAAAAUAUUUCAUUAAUAUAGUCAUAUUUGCAACCCACAUGAGUUGACCUAGUGAUAUUGGUUUGGGACUUGGAAGUGUGCUCGUCUUCAAGGUCUCAGGUUCGAUUUUCUCUCUAGUGUCAAUAUGGGUGAUCUAAUUUAGCUUCCUCAAAAUAAAAUAUUGUCAUAUCAGUCUUUCAAUAUACUUACUUAUUGUCAUAUCGAUCGUUAUAAGUAUUUUAUUUUAAUCCCUAUAUAAACAAAGUUCUUGUAAGUAUUGAGAGAUUGUUUUGGUGUCAGAGGCUACUUUGAUUAACAGAGUGCACAAUCAAAAACUAUUUUAAAAUUUUGAUGCAUUGAGGAAGUGUUGUGACCAUUUAUCAUACACUCAAAGAUCAAAGUGAUUAUUACCCUUAAGGCAUUCUUUAGUUGAAGAGAAAGAGACACUAUAAUUAUAUGUAGUAUAUUGUGGAUCAUAGCUAAUUAUUCAAUAAAAAUUUAAUCAAACUUAUUACUUAAUUCAUAAAAAAUAAUAGCUAAUUGAGAUAUAAUAUUAAAAUAUCCAAAGAGGAUAGUAAAACGAACAUAAUUUGACCCUCCAGUUUGUGAAAAAACAAACUGUAUGGGCUUUAUGUAAUUUUAUUAUUCCAUUAAUUAUUUAUUCAUUUUCCAUACACAAUAAACAAAGCUUAAGAGGCUUUGUCUCAUUACAAACAUGCAUAUGGUAUAUAGUUAUAAUGAAACUUGCUCAUUCAAAUGAGCUCUAGUUAACAUUCAUUACAGUCUUGCUCGUAAUCAUCGCAAGUACACCGCUUAGGUUGUUUGCAAGUACAGUAUUUGCAAGUUGAUUCACAGGUUUCUACAAUAUCUAGACAUUGGCACAUAAUAGGAAUCCAUUCAACAUAGAACCAUUCAACAUUCUUACAGCACCUGUUGGUUGUCGAGUUGACAUCAUUGGAGGAGAUCACUUGAGUGAUGAAGGAUUUUGAAUCAAAACGAGCAUCAAUAGUUGCAAUGAAGCUUAAGAGGAAAAUCAACAUAGCUAACUUUAUCAUUGUCUUCUUGUUCAUCAAGCCCAUUAUUACUCUCUUUAUAUCUUUCUGUUUAAUAUCUCUAAUUUAUUUGACUUGUGAAGAGCCAACCAUGUCUGGCUCUAUUUAUAAUGGAGUGCAAUAAGGGCUAUAAGGGUCUUGUUUUUCAAUUCAUAGGAGGUAUACCACAUAUUAUAAAGUAGAAUAUGAUAAUAAUGCUAUUUUUAUACAAGUUUCAUUUUCAUAUUUUUAUUGUUUAUUUAUUUCCAUUUAUACAUGUGAAAAUUAUUGUUUUUUAUUUUUAUUUCGUAGCCGACUUCUGUUGUCGGAUUAUGGAGAAUCUUAUUCAUAUCUAUCAUAAAAGUCCAGUGGAGGAUUAUUUAAUAAAAAUAAUUAAAUCAAGGAUGACAUACAUUAUAGGCUAAAAUAUGGUUUUGGUCCCUGCAAAUAUAUCUCGUUUUGGUUUUAGUCCCUGCAAAAUUUUUUUGUUGUUUUUGGUCCCUGCAAAUAUGUCUCAUUUUGGUUUUGGUCCCUGGGUCCACUUUUGUGAUAAUUUGCACACGUGUCACAUGAUGACUUAACCAUUUAUUAGAGAAAUAGUCCCUGCAAAAUCUUUUGAUUUUGAAAAAGGUCCCUGCAAAAUAUUUUGUUUUUGGAAAUAGUCUGAGACUAUUUCCAAAAACAAAAUAUUUUGCAGGGACCAAAAACAACAAAAUUUUUUUGCAGGGACUAAAACCAAAACGAGGCAUAUUUGCAGGGACCAAAACCAUAUUUUAGCCUACAUUAUAAGGUCAGACAAAAUUAUCAACCUCGAACAUAGAAACAAUUAUGUAAUAUGAAAUUGUUGUGUAUUAUGGCGAGCUUUGUUUACCAAGUAAUUCGCACUAAAAUAAUUAAGUUUGAUGAAAUUCAAUAAAUAAGAGUAUAAUUAUAAAAAUAAAAAGUAAAUGAUAUAUAUUAGUAUUUUAUAGUAAUAAUUAUUUUGAGACAGAGAAAAAAUAAAAAGACAAUUAUAUUGAGACAUACUGAAUAAUUCUUAUUGAGUAGAUUAAUCUAUAAAGUUCAGACUUCAUAAAAGGUACAUAAACAACUAUCUAUUUGUAUUAUUGGAAUUUCUCAUUCUUAGUGAGUUUAAAGUUCAGACUUCGACUCUGUUUGAUAAAAGUAGUGAAUAGCUUAUAGGUUAUAGUCGAUGACUAACGAGUGAUAAUUGAUAAAUUAGUUAAAGUGUUUGAUAAAAUUAAUGGUUCAGCGAGGUGAUAAAUGUAAAUUAACAUAAAAUGAUAUUUUUUAUUCAUAAUAAUUUUUUUAGAGGUCAUAAAUAUUUAAGAUACUUGGUCAUUUAAAUUUAUUAUUUUAAUCGAUAUGUAUUUUUGGUUGAAAUUUUGUUUUUUUAUUUUAUCCAGUUUGUAUACUUUAUGAAUGAAUGAAGUAUACAAUUUUAUUUUAUGGAUAAGGUAAAAAAUAAUCUUUAAUAGGAUUAAAAAUGACAAAACAAAAAUAGUGUUAAAAGAAUAGAAAAAAUAAAUUAAAGAGCAAUGAUAUUUGUAAAACAAUUUGUUAAUAACUUUUGUGAUAACUUUUUUUUCUUUUUCUUUUUAUUGGUCAAAAACAACAGAGAGAAUAAAUAAAAGAGAGAGUAAGAUCAUAAUAUGAGUAUGAAAUAGAAAGUUAUCCAUAAAUUAUCUCAUAAAAUGAUCGUACAAUAUCAUUUCUCAGAAACAAAAUACGUGAUCUAUAUGUACCUAUAAAAAUCAUAUGUCACUUAUUUGUCACUACAUUAGCGUUGUUGGAAUAUUGAUUUGAAACAAGUAGUAUGUUUAUCUUUUUUAAUCAAUUGAAAACUAAUAUAAUUGAUAUCGAUUUGAAGCAAGAAGCGAUCAAGAAGAUAGACGAAGACUACUGCAUGCUAUCAUAGAAGAUUUUGAUCUUUAUGUUAACUAAUUAGUUGUAACUUAGAGAUAUCUAUGUUAAUACAUUAGUGACUAUACAUUUCUGACUAUUAUGCUAUAUAUACAUACAUAUUUUAUGAUAUGUUUAAGUUUUAUUUGAUAAAUAAUAGUCUCAAUUUUAAUGUGCCAAAAAUAUAUAUAUUUCCCUUAGAAAAAUUAUAUAUGAAUAUAUAUUUUACUUUAAAUUAAUAAAAAUCACUAUCUGUAAAAAUAAUAACAAAUCUGACCAAAAAAAAAAUAAUGCUUUUCCUAGCGCUUUUUUCUUGUAUAAAGCGCUAUCUAAACCUAAUGUUACAUAGCGUUUUAAAACAAAAAUGCUGCUUUUUGCUAGUACAUGCGUUAUUUUAAACCCCUUUUAGAUGGCGUUUAUUAUUGAAAGCGCUAUCUAAGGAGGGUCUUUGCUACAAAAAGCGCUAUAUAAACCCUACUUUAGAUAGCGCUUUACACAUAAAAUAAAGCGCUAUAUUACCUUUACCAGCGCCAUUUACAGUAGCGCUUACAAAGCGCUAGCUAAAGCAAAAAAAAAGCGCUAUAUAAGCCCAUUUUUGUAGUAGUGAGCAGUUUCCUCCAUGAGAUAACGUUGAAACUGCUGUCGACAGGGAAGAUAAUUUUAAUCAACAGAUUGAAGAACUGGAAUAUAACAAGUACUUGGAAUAUAAUUGAAAAAACAAGAAGCAGAUGAAUUGGAAUAUAAUUGAUAUUUAUUGGGAAAAUAAUUGGAAAAUGAAGAAAGAAAGAAAAAAAAAAAGAACAAAAACUAGAAGCAUGAGAGUCCAAGGAGGUCUUAUGAACAAAAACUAGAAGCAUGGGAGUCCAAAGACUAUAAUUGAUAUUCAACAUGGAUUGAAUCAAGAUAUGAUAGUUUUAUCAUAUAUCGUCUUCCUAUUUUGUGCAUCAAACGGACCCUAAUAGUUUCUUAUCAAUAAUAUAUAUUUUUUUUUUACCAAAACAAAGUUAACUAUUAUCAUUAAUCAACCAAUGUUCAAUACAAGAAGAUAAGAAUAAAAAAUACAGUGACUAGCCCAAGAACAGACCGCCCUAGCUAAAGUAUGAGCAACCAUGUUCGUUUGUCUCCUAACAAACUUCACCUCGAAGUUGGAAUGUAAAGAUAACUGAUAAAUAAUACUAGAAACAAUAGCAUAGAAUUCUGAAUCACCAUGGCCCAGAGACGAUAGAGCUUGCACUAGAGUAGCUGAGUCAGACUCGAAGACAACCCGUUUCCAUCUGUUCACAUCAGCAAAGUGAAUGACAUCAAGUAAACAUGCUACCUCCCCCUCCAAAACUGUCAUAUUUGUCCGCUGUCAUUUCGUUUGAGCCCGAAUAAACUGGCCACACAUGAGUCUCUAAUACAACAUGCAAAAGAUAUAAUAUGGAUGGAAAGCGGCAUCAACAUUGCACUUCAACCACGUCUCGUGCGGUUUCUCCCAAACUGAGCUAUUACCUUGCACUGUAUUUUGUCCGUGUUGCACAACCGAUGGUGAGGGCUGUUUAUGAACCUCUUGUCAUUGCUGUCAUGCAUCUAGUGUUGUCCUUCCAAUAUGCUUGUUGAAGUAUGAUGAGUGUCAUUCCAAAUGACAUCAUUACGUGCAAUCCAAAUUUGCCAAAGAAGUAAAACCACCCGACCAGCCAUGUCUCGACUUUUUGAACAACAUAUGUCAAAAACAAAAUAUGUCAAACUACUCACAUCGUACAACAGCUGUAUCGCACCAGGGGCAGUUCUCCUCACAUUGUGCAUGUCGUGAUUGUAGUCUGAGAUGCAUCGGAACACACCCCAUGCAAAUCCUCCAUAGCAAAUUACGUGCUUUAUGAGGGGAAUUCACCUUCCAGAUUCUAUGUCACUCUCAUUCAACAUGAAGUCGAUCAGUGGGUAACAACUCCAUGAUAGCCAGUUUAUAACCAAUCUUAACAAUAUACCUCCCAUUACGUUCCAUACCUCCCAUUACAUUCCAUCAUCCGCGCUAUUCUAUCAUUCUGAACUUCCACAAUAGUGGUGUGUGUUUUUUGAUACAAGAUCUUGGCUUGUGGUUUUGUAUCAACUAAAACUUCCAAUGUCUUAGAUGUUCUUUAGAUGAAGAGAAAGAGACAAUAUAUUUAUAUAUGGUAUAUUGUGCAUCAUAGCUAAUUAUUCAAUAAAAAUUUAGUAAACCUUAUUACGUAAUUGAUAAAAAUACAAUUAAUAUAUUUUGAAAUAUAAUAUUAAAUAAAAUAUCCGAAGAGGACAAACGCAAUUUGAUUAUUUAAUCAUUUUCCAUACACAAAAAAGAAAAACAAAACCUAAGGGCUUUGUCUCAUUACACACAUGCAUAUGGUACAUAGUUAUAAUGAAACUUGCUCAUUCAUCUAACAUUGUAUACAAUAUUCAUUGUAAUCAUCGCAACUACACUGUUUAGGUUGUUUACAAGUACACUUUUUGCAGGUUGAUUCGCAGGUUUCUGCAAUAUCUACACAUUGGCAUGAAAAAGGAAUCCCUGGACUAAUGUACCAUAAAACAUCAUUACAGCACCUGGUGGUUGUCGAGUUGGCAUGGUUGUUCAUCAAGCUUAAGAGGAAAAGCAACAUAAUCAUUGCAUUCUUGUUCAUCAGGCUCAUUAUAUCUUUCUGCUUAAUAUCUCUAAUUUCUUUGCUUUGUGAAAAGCCAAUCAUGUAUGGCUCUAUUUAUAAUGGAGUGUGAUAAGGGUUUUGUUUUUCAAUUCUUGUGAAGAGCCAAUUAAUCAUGUAUAACUCUAUUUAUAAUGGAGUGUAAUAAGGGUUAAGGGUCUUUGAAUCGAAUAAAAUAGAAUGAUAAUGCUAUUUUUAUACAAGUUUCGUCUUCAUAUUUUUAUUGUUUAUUUAUUUCCAUUUCAUAUGUUUAUUGAGUAAACAAAUUUUAAUGGAGACUUUAUGAAUUAUUUAUUUUAAGAAUUGUGAAACCAAAUAUUCAUUAAAAAAACAAUGAUAAAUUUUAGUGAGAGUUGUAACUAUAGGUAGAAUUCAUUGUUUACAGGGGGUCUUUUAGGAAUUACCUUCAGUUUCGUCCCUAGGUAAAGGUCUAAAAUAGUAAGGAAGCUUGAGAUUUACCUACGGAUUUGGGCCUUAUAGUGACAGUUUUUAUCUGUCGCUAGAAGUCAAAUUUCAGGUACAACGUGACCCAUUAUCCAGUUCGAUAAUUAUAAGGCAACUAAAAGGAAAAUCUUAAGUGUGUGUGUGUCAAUUUCAAAUGUAAUUUUUGCAAAAAUUAGCUUAGCAUUGAAGGUAAGUGCCACCAUCCUGAUAUGUCCCUGAAAUAACUAUUCAUUUUAUUUUAUCUAUCAAAAGAGUUCUUACACUACAAGAAACUCUCGAUUUUCCUAUUGACAAAAGAGACAUGGUUGUAUAAGCAAAAUUGUCUUAGAUUUUCAGAUUUUCUUGUUACUUUAUUGUUGCUAUAUAUUUAUUUCCUAACUUUGAAAUUUACAUUAUCAUCUGAUUUCCAUGUUUUAAAUUUCCUUGUAACUAUAUUUUCUAAUUUGUCUUUUUUAGUUAUUGUCUUGCUUCUUAGUUUAAUUAUUUUUAGAUGCAUCUCUACUAACUGAUAUAUGAGUUUUAAUUUACUGCAGAAAAUCAAUCUCAUAUGCUAGACCCAAUUUCAGUUGGUUAAACAAAAGCGCGGACGAAAUUGAUAAGAUACAUUUUUUGAACAUUUUUUAAUAGAUUAAAAUUUAUAUAAAUAGUCGGUGGAUUUGAUGAAAGUUGUUUGUAAUAAGUUUCAAUCAAAGUUGAAACUUUGAGAUAAAGGGUUCAAAUCCUAAUUAGAAUAAUAUUAACCUUACUUUGUUUACCUUACAACUGCAAUUCGGGAUAUCAUACCUCUUUUUCAUGAGAAAUGAAAUGUUAAAGAAGUAAUUUAUAUGAAGUCCAUCUAAUUUAUGUGAGACUUAUACAGUAUACACAAAAGAUGUGGAUGGACUAAUGAGCAAUUUUGAUCAUGUUAACUACAUGAAGAUCUAAAUCAUGAUUUCAAAUAAUAAUAAUAUAUCUAACGAUAAAGAUGAAUUCAUAUUGAUCAUCUAUCCUAACUCAACUGUUAAAAAAUGUCGAUUUUUUUUUAAUAAGUCAAACUAACGCAACAAAAUUGGUACAGGGAAAUAUGUCAAAAUUGUUAGAUCGAAUUUCUUGACCGAGAUUCCAUUUAUGACUCUUCCAUGCAAUGCUUUAGGUUCCAAUUCCGACUUUUCAAUUUAUGUGUCUGAGUUUAUAAUUUCUUUUAUAAUUUUAUUUAUUAAAAAAAUGUGUAAAAAAAAUAAAUUCUCAAAAAAUAGGAAUGCAUAAAAAAAAUCUAUGCAAAAGGAAACGGGUAUAAUUUUAGCCUUUUAUUUAUUAAAAAAAUGUGUAAAAAAAAAAGAAAUUCUAAAAAAAAUAGGAAUGAGUAAAAAAAUGGGUAAAUAAGAUUUUUUUUUUUUUUAUAAAGAUGUUGCGUAGCUGUAGGGUGGUGUAGGAUGGUUUCUUCCUAAUUGGGAAGAUAAAAAACCAAUAAAAUGAAAAUAUUGUUGUCACGGCUAAUUAAAACAUGCCACGUCACUCAUCGUAGGGAGGAUGAAGCUUAUGCGACAAAAUUUCCUUUCUUACAGAUUUUCUGUCCCAUUUAUGAUUCUUCCGUGAAAUUAUUUAGGUUUCAAUUCCGACUUUUCAACUUAUGUGCCUGAGUUUAUAAUUUUAUUUAUUAAAAAAAUGAAUAAAAAUAAGAAUUCGUCUAAAAAAGAAAAUCUAUAAAAAAAGGAAACGGGUAUAAUUUUAUUUAUAAAAAAAUGAAAUUCUCAAAAACUAGAAAUGUGUAAAAAAAAAAAGAAAAAAAAAACGUGUAAAUGAGAUUUUUUUUUUUUUUUUUUUUACAGAUGUUGCGUAGCUGUAGGGUGGUGUGGGAUGGUUUCUUCCUAAUUCGGAAGAUAAAAAACCAAUAAAAUGGAAAUUGUUAUGAAUAUUCUAAGUGAAUGUCCAUAACCUUUGUGCUUAUCUCUUAAAUCACACAUUUCUGUACUUAUCCUUUAGGUACUUAACUAUUAAGUUAUCUCCUUAUACAUCUCUAUAAAUAGAGACCAUAUGUAACAUAUUGAAUACCACAAGAGAAUAAUAGAAUCAUUCUCUAUUCUCUUUCUUUCUCCUUCUCUACUUCUCUCUACUUUAUUUUUGUUCCUAUUUCUUUAGUUUCAUAACAGAAAUAUUGUUGUCACAGCUAAUUAAAACAUGUCGUGUCACUCACUGGUGGGAGGAUAAAGCUUAUGCGACAAAAUUUCCUUUCUUGCAAAUUUUCAAUUAUAAAAGGAGAGUCACACUCUCUCAUUUUUCAUCAUUUUCACUACUCUAAGCCUUCUCCCCUAAAAUCCCAAUAUCUCAUUCCUUUCAGCUACAAUGAAUGUGCUUCCAUCUGGUGUUGAUAUUUACCCACCGAGGAGAUUCUCCUUGGCUACCACCUUGCCUCUCGUAUGAGAGUACUGAAAAUCAUUGUUGGUCAAUACUACACACUCCGGUCACUAUUAUAAGCAAAAAUCAAUAUUUUUUAUUCAUUAAAUUAAUGAUGUAUAUGAUCUUUAUUAUCGAUCACAUCCCUCCAAAACUCGCAAACAAAGCCUUAAGUUCCUGAUUGACUUCAUUCAUCUUGUCAUCAGAGUCAUCACCAACAGCGUCACCUUCAUCAACAUCAGAUAAGGCUCCAAACUCAACAUCUAGAUUCAUCCCUCAAGGGCAAUCAAAAAUACGACAAACAACAAAAGGUGCCUACACAAAUUUACGAAAUGAUUUUCCAACAAAAAUACUUGCAUGCAUCAAAAAUCUCGGGUUCAUAAAGGUAAAUGCGUAAAAAAGGGGCAAAUUUUAGCAGAUGGUGCUGCUACUGUUGGCGGUGAACUCGCUUUGGGAAAAAACGUAUUAGUAGCUUAUAUGCCAUGGGAAGGUUACAAUUCUGAAGAUGUUGUACUCAUUAGUGAACGUCUGGUCUAUGAAGAUAUUUAUACUUCUUUUCACAUACGUAAAUAUGAAAUUCAAACUCAUAUUAUUGUGUAGGCUUCUUUUGUUCUUUGGAACCUACACAAUAUCUAAUUCAUGGAACAACCAUCUCCGCGAUACCAAGUAAACAAACUUCCAUAAAUCGGCAAGUCCACCAGAAAUCUGUCGGCAAUGAAUGUGUUAAAAAUAUCUAUUUCAUAUUGACGAAACACUGAACCACGGCUCUUCUCUCAUCCACCAGAAAUCUGUCGGCAAUGAAUGUGUUAAAAAUAUCUAUUUCAAACUUCCAUCUAUUUCAAAAAUAUCUUUUGAAGUUUACUCUUAAACCUGAAACUUAUUGAAGCUUUCCAGAGGUUUGUUUUCUAUGUUUUUGAAUUUAAGAAAUCUAUUUCUUUUCAUGAUUUCAAGUCAAGCAAUUUCUUUCAUUUAUUUUUACUCACAAUUUAAUUUUCAAGCAUUUUAUUUUCUGCAUUCAAAGUUAUUUUAUUUAAAGCAUUUAAACUCGCACAAAUUUUAUAAGUCUUUUAAUCCAGUUGUCUUUAUAUUCAAGCUGUUUAAUUAAAGUUAAUUGACUCUUUAAUCCUUCUCAACCACUCGAAUUUACUAUACUCUUUUUUCAAAAAAGACUUAAAAGGAGUAAUUUCAAAGACAGAUUAAAAAUAAAAUUAGAAGGUAGUAAAAGAAAGACUUUAACCCUACAGUUUGUAAAAAAACAAACAGCAAGAUCAAGUGGUAGUUUUAUUUUAUUGAUAAUUUAUUCAUUUCCAUACACAAAACACAAAGCCUAAGGGACUUUGUCUCUCAUCACAUGCAUAUGGUAGUAGGUACAUAGUUAUACUCAAACUUAGUGAGAUCCACCAUUGGAGGAGUAGCUACAUGGUUCAUAGCAGAAAUCAGUGGUAUCAGUGCAACGGCACUGUGGAGGAAAAGAUCUUGUGCAAAGGCAUCUUUUGCAAGCUGAGUGACAUUUUUCUCCAAUAUCAGCACAGUGACACUGAGGAGGAAUUGAUUUUGUGCAAGGGCAGCUAUUACAGCAUGCUGUUGUUGUGGAUUUUACUUCGUAAGUAGCUUCACCAUUGGAGAGCAGUUGAGUGAUGAAGGAUGAUCCGUCGAAACGAGCAUCAACAACAGUUGAAGUGAAGCCCAAAAGGAAAACCAACAAAGCUAACUUCAUCACCAUUGCCUUCUUGUUCAUCAUCAAAUCCAUUAUCACUAUCUCUUUCUCACUUAGUAUUAUCAAUGUAUCUUUUCUUUGUGAUGUAGGAAACAUGCAACUACAUUGGGUCAAUUUAUAGAGUGCAACCAGGGGUAUAUAUGUCAUUUUCUUCCUUUCUUUCUUCUAUUAUUUUUCUUGAAAAGAUGCAUUCAUCACAUGCCUUACAUUAUUAUGAUUAUAAUAGUGUUUAUAAUAUGAUUAUCAUCCCAAAGCUUAAGAUGAUAAGAUUCAUUUUCAUAUAUUAAAAUUUGUCCUAGAACUAUUUUUAAAGGUCCAUAUUAGACACAUACCAUAAAUUUAUGAGUUUAUCGUUUCAAAUUGAUGCAAUAUAUUAUAAUAGAUACAGAUGUUGAUCAUAAUAAUUAAUAAUUCAUAACAAUUAACAAUCGAUCUGCCUUCAACAAUAAAAAAAACACAAUUGAUCUAGAGCCUACAGCAUGAUCCUCGUGGCCCUUAUUCAAUUUUCUUUUUAGAUUUAAAUAAAGUUUUAGUCUUCAUACUUUAAUUUAUUUACAAAAUUGAUCCUCCUAUGUUAAUAUCUCCAAAUUUCGGUCCCUCCUACAUAUUUUUGGAUUAAACAAAUUAUGAUGUGAUAUAUAUUUUUUCAUGUGCCAUAUUUUAAAUGAUAUGUCUUACAUAUGAUGAUUUUGAAUGAUCAUCACUUGUGAGUUAUUCAUUUUUUUAAAAGACAAGAUAAGAUGUCACGUCAGGAUAUUUUGAAAUCUUUUAAAAAAAUAUAUAUUGAGAAAAGAAAUCUUUUAAAAACUUAACUAUUCAUUUUUGUAAUUUAAUUAUAUAUAUCUCACGUCAUUUAACAUAUUGCUUUUAAGUCAAAAUGUUGAGAUAGAGAUCAAAAUUAAUGAAUUUUAAAAUAGGUGAUCAGUUAUGUGAGCGAGUGACAAUAGGAUGAUGAAUAUAGAUUUUAUAUUUCUAUUUACUUUCGUUUUGAUAGUUUAGAGAUACAAUUUAUCAAUUAUAACUUUUCUUUAAUUUAUUUGUGUUUAAUAAUAGGACUAACAUCGAAAUACGUUUAACGAUGAAUCCAUGUGUUUCUUAAUAUCUUUGAUAAAUCAACAUGCAUGCAUGAUGUAUAUUCUAUUUUCUAUGCAUGCUGAUAUGUUUAUUAAGCUUUCGCAUUAAAACAUGAUUAUAUUAAAUAAAUACGCUCUCUGAUCUCUAUUAUAUGUAAAAUUUCACUUUUUAAAUUCAUUAAAUAACUAAUGUAUUUAUAUUAGUUAUUCAAUAUAUUUAAACAAUAAAGUUUUGUUAAUAAUAGUGACCGAAGAUAGUAAUCGUUGGUUAAAGCAUACCUAGUAUUAAUUAAUUGUAAAUUAUUUCCAACAGAAAAAGCCUCCAAACAAAUAUAACUCAAAACCUUCGAUGUUCUUACACUCCUCUAAAUUAAAGGCCUCUAAACACAUUGCGUAGAUUGGGACAACAAUCCAUUGAUAGUCAAGUUGUCUGCACAUGAUACCCAUUUCGAAAAAAAUAAAAUUCUAUAUAGUAAAUUUUGUUGAAAUUUAGUGUAUUUUAUGCUGCAAGCCGGUGUAACCCCCCACCAACCCACACACACAUUAUGCACUAGAAUUAAUUAAAAUCUUAAACAAGUAAGAUAAUGACAUUCUUUCAGAAAAAGAAAAAAAAAAAAAAAAAGUAAGAUAAUGACUGGACUUGUUCACCACCUCGCUCUUGUCUGCUUGGGACAUGUAGCCGACAACGCAGCUUGACCCUUCAACAUUUUUACAUAUUUUUGUUGAAUCAGAACUUCUUGCAUCUUUAUCUUUCACAUGUCUCAGGUAAAUUUUUCGAUAUCCCACUUGGUAUUCAUGGUGUUCGCUUAAUUAUUUUUCUUGUGCUCGCAUUAGUUGUUGUGAAUUCGUAUCAAAACUCAAACCAAUGGUUUGAUGUGUGGAGAAAAAUUAGCACCAAUCAAACCAACGAAAUCAACCAAACACAUACAUACAAUAAAAUAAGAUAAAGUAGAACAAAAAGAAGAACAACACGGUGAUAUUUGUUCACCCGGUUCGACCCAAAUUCGACUUAUGUAUAAAGGAGAUAGAUCUCUUUAAUUCAGUACUAAUGAGUUAACCAGAAAGUUAUAAGAAAUUAGUUUUCAACCGUAAAACACCGGUACCACGGUUGGCUUGGGAGAAGCAUAAAACGAUAGAAUCAUUAGCUAAGAGCAACAACAUAAGUAUAGUGUUGGACACCAAAUCUUCAUCUCAAAGAUAUUGUAAAUAUGAGUCAUCACUAUAUACAUCUGAUAUAGUGAAGAAGGAGGAGGAGGAGGAGGAGGAUAAAAACCUCGACAGAGAUUGCUUUUUUUUAGUUACAGUUUAAAUUUACAUAAAUCAUAACAUGUGAAAAACAUGACAUCUGCACAAUAACAAGAAGGAGUUUCUGAUUCUGAAUCUCUAAUGCAAUCACAUUUUUUGCAAGCUGAGUGACAUCCAUCAUCUCUACAAAUACAUUGAGGAAAAAAAUGACCUUCUUUCACAUAGCACUCACAUUUAUCACAGCAUGCUGAAUGAUAAAUAACAUCAUAAGUAUCUUCACCAUUGGAGAGCACUCGAGUGGUGAAUGGUGUUGAAUCAAAACGAGCAUCAACAAUAGUUGCGGUGAAGCACAAGAGCAAAAGCAACACAGAUAACUUCACAAAUGUAUUCUUGUUCGACUCCAUUACUUUACAAAUACAUUUAUUUUCCUUGUGAAGAGGCAAGUAGCAGUAGCAGUACAUGGUUCUCUAUUUAUAAUGGAAGUAUUGAUAUUUUUUUUUAUAAUAUACACGUCUUUGCCAUUCAAAAUAUAAUAUAAUAUAUACGUCUUUGUACCUAUUAUAGUUUAUAGUUUAUAUAUACAAUAUUCAUAGUAAAAACCUUUCAAAAAUAUAUAUAAUACUUGAAGUAAAAAAAACAAUAAUAUACAUAUCUGUAUGCCAAGCAUCGGUUAUUAAAC